CUUGGCCAGAUCCUGGGUUUCAAAAGGCCAGCAGACUUGGCAGUAUUCAAAGCUGUGAUUUCUGUUUGAAACCCAGAGAUCAAAGCUGACCGUGGCCAUGGAGAACUCUUCCUACGGAGGAGUGGAGUCCAAAUGGCACAUUUAGACCUUCAUGAUACCAGGAGGAGGCUGCGUUCGCAUCUGGAGGUAGGGACAGGGCGCUUCUGGGGUGGGGGCUCAUUUGCCCAUCUGGUACUUUAUAUUGGAAAGUGAAAUGGUCGGACAUAAAGAAAAUAUUGUUCUUUUUUUGUAUACCAACAUUUUUCGGGAGUACGUACUGGGAAUUGAGCUGAGGGGCACUUGAACACUGAGCCCCAUCCCCAGCCCUUUUUUAUAUUUUAUGUAGAGACAGGGUCUCACUGAGUUGCUCAGGGCUUCGCUAAGUUGCUGAGGCUGGCUUUGAAUCUGCGAUCCUCCCACCUCAGCCUCCCGAGCUGUUGGGAUUACAGGCAUGCACAUUCACUUAUUUUGAUACAGGUGUGAUAUCACCUAAGAUACCUCUUGUCACUCAGUAAACUGGUUUCUUCAUUGGGAGAAAAAAAGUGUGUUUGUAUAACUUUGAGAGAAAGUACAGACAUUGAGCCAAGCUGAAAGGUCAACAUUUUGGCAACAAUUCUGUAUAUGUGCCUUUUGGAUCUUGUUUGAUUUGCUUUUGAAAUGGCGUCUCACCAUGUUGUCCAGGCUGGCCUUGAACUCCUGGGCUCAAGUGAGCCUCUUGGCUUCCAGGGUUCCCAGAACUACAGGCAUGUGCCACCAGGCCUGGCUCUGGAUUUGCCUCUUGGAACUGAGUAACAGAGUUGAUGUUUGCCAUCUCAGCCUCCCCUCCCUUCCCCCUCCCUCCCCUCCCCCUCCUUCCCUCCCCCUUUCCCUUCCCUCCCCUCCCCCCUCCUCUCUCCCAUUUCCUUCCCUCCUUCCUGGCAGCCCUUAUAUUCCAUUGGAGGAGACCUGUGGGACCAGGACCAGGAGGUGGCUUCUUCCAGGACAGGAGCAGGCAAGCCAGGAACUGCCAAGAAGCAUAUUCAGUCCCCUGGCCACCAUCCCGAUUGCUGGGCUGAGUGUGGAACCCGGUGGGUUCGUUGGAGUGACUCUCAGAUGCUCUAUUUGGAGGGCUAUUAGACAGAGGCACCCUUCCCUCUGAUUCUGUGCAGUGUGGGCGGUGCAGAAAGAGAGCCCCCCAACAGCCUGGCCAUCUGUGCCACCAACCGGGGUGCCAGUCUAGGGGGACCAGAGACAAGUGGAUGGAAGGGAGACAGUCGGUGGUGGGGUCUGGAAUCAUAUGGCCCCUGAGGCCUGCCCUGCUUCCGGAAUCUUCCACUGAAUCUUCUGGAAUCUCCUGGAAUCUUAUUUAAUUGAGACUUCAAUCGUUGGUGGCCAAAUUAUCUUAGAUGGUAAGAAUGACAGAAUUUCCAAACCAGUUUUGUGCCAACAAUAUAGGGACAUGUGCAGGCCAUUGGAAAGGAGAGCACAAUUGCUCCCAAAUCUGUCUUCUCUUAAUUUUUUUAAGUGAAAUCUUUAAAAAGUCACUACCUGAAAUAUAUAAGUGAAGUUGAAUCAGUAAAAAUGCACAUUUAGGAGGGUUUUUGUUUGUUUUUAACACCAACAGCCAGGAAUGUAGCUCAGUGAGGUAAGCACACCAGGCAAUUUAGCCUGCCCGAGGCCCUGGGAUCAAUCUCCAGCACCAAAGAGAGAGGUGGGGGUGGGGACAGGAGGGGGUGCGGGGAGAAUGAAUGAGAAGCAGGAAUGGUGGUGCACACCUGUCAUCUCCUCAGCUAUAGGGGAGGCUGAGGCAGGAGGAUCAUAUGUUCAAGGCCAGCCUCAGCAACCUAGCAAGACCUUGUCUCAAAAUUAAAAAGAAAAAAAAAAAAAUAGAAAGAACUGGGGAUGUAGCUCAGUGAUAGACCUCUUGACUAGCAUGUUGGAAAGUCCUGGGUCCCAUCUCUAGUACCGAAAUAUAAAUAAAUUAUACAAAUCAAUAAAAACUAAAUUUAAAAAAAUGGUCAACAUUACUAAGCAGUACACUGUGAGAAGUGGGUAUCCCUCCCUUUUCUCAGCACUCCCCAAAAGCAACAUUUUAACUACUGUUGCAGAAAGGUUCUUGUCCAUACUUCCUAAAAUAUUCUGUGCAUAAAUCUCCCUUUUCAUUUGCAGGAAGAUACAAAGAGCCUCUUGCCUUUUUUCUCUGACAAAAUACCUUCAAGGUUGUUCCAGAUCAGAAAAUAUUUAAGCUGUUUCUUAAAUAUGGCAACGUGGCUAGGAUCAUUCUUCACUUUGGUGCUACAACCCCCACCUGCCCAUGGGGGUAAGUUAGUUUAUUCACUCAAUGAAAUGAAGCAACAUUGGCAAGUACCUUCACAUAUCUCUCUUCUCUUUCUUUUUUCUUUUCUUUUUAUUUUUUUGGUACUGGGGAUUGAAAUCAGGAGCACUUACCCACUGAGCCACAUCCCAACCCUUUUUAUAUUUUAUUUAGAAACAGGGUCUCACUGAGUUACUUGGGGCCUUGAUAAGUUCUGAGACUGGCUUUGAACUCGAGAUCUUCCUGCCUCAGCCUCCUGAGCCACUGGAAUUAUAGACAUCAUCUUCACAAGUUUCCGAGGAAACUUAAAAUUACUAAACAGGUGCAAACAAAUUGCAUUUUGGGGUUCUGCAGUUUACUUAACCAAGCUCCUACAGAGUCAUUUAGGCUGGGACCUUUAGCUACAACAAAUGUUGUAUAUGCCAUUUUGAUUGUCAGCUGUAUAAAGUGUUCUAAAUAACAGUCAGUGUAAAGAUCAGCUGUUGAACCAGAAGUUUUACAUUUGAGAUGUUCAGAGAACUUGAACAAUGUUGAUUGUUUUCUUUUUGGUAUGUAACCGUCUCUUUUCUCCUAUAUAUGUAUGGAUUUAUUUUUCUCAUUCAUCUAUCUAUUCACUAAGAACUUACUGAGCACCUACUCGGUCCCCAGGGAUAUGGGUACUGAUCUUCACCUCCAGGGUCUUGUGUUACCUGAUCUUUUGAGAAGCAGGUAAUAGAAUCAAUAAAUAUCCAGUCCUCUGUGAUUAUUUAACUAAUAUUUUUGGGACUUUGGUGAUAAUGGCUUUGUAAUCACUUCCGUACAAUCCAACUCAGCUUUGGACCUGUAUCAGAACGGAUGUUUCCAUGCUAGAUCAUCCCAUAUUUCCAGGUGACACGGGAAAGAUGAGCCCAACAAAUAGAACAUGGUAACCGCUAUCAGUUCCUGAGCGCUUACUCUGCCCAGAUAGAAAGCAGCAAUAACUGCUGAGAUGUUAUCUCGAGAAUGACAGUGAGUCCUGUCGUUUGUCCCUGAAUUCAAUACUGCAAUAUUGUUUACUUUGUACUUUUAAAAAACACUCAAUUUCCUCUUGAUUUUUACUAUCAGGCAUAGAGGAACCAAUUCUGGGUCCACAUUUGCUGUUUUUUUUUUCCUAUAGUUGUAAGAUUCCAUUGCAUCAUAUAAUCCUUAAAAAUAUUAAAACUCUGAGAAAAUAAGAAGCAUUGCCAAGAAAACGAGGCUGAACUCUUCCUGUGGCCCAGAUGCACUGUUCCUGACACAGUGGUGUUAUUAAAAACUUCACCUAUACAGAAAUCUGCCGGCUGGGGCUGAGGCUCAGUGGCAGAGGGCUUGCCUGGGUUCCAUCCUCAGCACCACGUAAAACUAAAUAAAUAAAAUAAAGGUAUUGUGCCCAUCUACAACUAAAAAUAUUUUUUAAAAGAAAUCUCUGAUUGCAGACAUUUCAACCAGAACUGGAAUGAUGGAUUAGUUAACUUACAUCAGGCCCAUAUCUUGAAUCAUCUCAGGUCUCAGGUGUCUCCCCUUGACUUACCUUUCCUUUGAGAUGGGGUCUUGCUAUGUUGCCUAAGCUGGCACUGAACUCCUAGGCUCAAGUGAUCCUUCUGUCUCAAUGUCCCCAGGAGUAGCUUUGACUAUAGGCACACACCAAUGCACCCAGUACCCUUUACUUUCUUGGGGGGCGGCUGGUACUGGGGAUGAUUGAACUGAGGGGGUACUUAGCCACUGAGCCACAUCCCCAGCCCUUCUUAAAUUUUUAAAAAUUGUUUUUUUUCUUUUUUUUUUUUUUGUAUUUAUAGAUGGACAGAAUGCCUUUAUUUUAUUUGUUUAUUUUUAUAUAAACAUGUGCUAGGCAAGUGUUCCAACCCCAGACCCAAUUUUUAAAAAUUUUGAGACAAUGUCUCACUAAGUUGCUUAGGGGCUCCCUAAAUUGCCCAGGCUGGUCUCAUGCUUGCAAUCCUCCUGCCUCAGUCCUCCAAAUUUCGGGGAUUAUAAGUGUGAGCCACCACACCCAGCAAUUCUCUUUACUUUUUAUUUAUGUCUUUUUUAAACUUUAAAACGCAACACUUACUGUUUGAUUAUUUUUUGUUUUUCUCCACUGGACUCUGAGCUUCAUGAGGUCAGUGACUGGGUCUAUUUAUCUACCAGUUUUCUCUCAGUGCCUAACACACAAUAUGUGCUUGGGUAUGGUGGCACAUGCCUGUAAUUCCAGUGACUUGGGAGGCCGAGGCAGGAGGAUCUCAAGUUCAAAGCCAGCUUCAGUUACUUAGCAAGGCCCUAAGCAACUCAGUGAGACCCUGUCUCUAAAUAAAAUACAAAAUAGGGCUAUGGAUGUGGCUCAGUGGCUGAGUGCCCCUGAGUUCAAUCCCUGGUGCCCUCCAAAAUAACAAAUAAUAAUAAAAUAAAAAGGGUUGGGAAUGUGGAUCCAUGGUUAAGCACCUCUGGGUUCAAUCCCCAUUUUAAAUGUGUGUGUGUAUGUGUGUGUAAUUGAAUUUAUUUAGCAAUGUGCUAAUAAUUCAGAUGAACUAAGGCAAGAGUGGCUUGUAUAAUAAAAUUAAACUAAAAUAAUAGCAUGAAAAAAUAAAGGAAAAUUAUAAAUAUAAAAUGGUUCACAAAGUAAUGAGAAUGAAAUGAAAAUGUAAAUGUGGAAUAAGCAAUAUAGGCCAUGGCUAGGAACACCUUAAUUCUUUUUUUUUUUUUGUACUGGGGAUUGAAUUCAAUUCAGGGGUGCUCAACCACUGAGCCACAUCCCCAGCUCCUUUUUUAAUUGUUUAUUUAGAGACAGGGUCUUACUAACUUCCACAGGCCCUUGCUACAUUGCUGAGGCUGGCCUUGAACUUGAAAUCCUCCUACUUCAGCCUCCUGAGCAACUGGGAUUACAGGUGUGUGCCACCACACCCGGCUCUCUAUUAUUCUUUAUUCCAUUAAUAGGAACCCUACCUGUGGCCAAAGGCAAGCAAAAUUUGUUCGUCGAAUUGGUGAAAUGAGAUGACCAGGUACAUAGGCUUCUGAGAAAAUAAUCUAAAAUGAUUAUGCUGUGCCUAAUAUCAAAGAAAUGUUAAGAGAGCCCAUAAUAAAAAGGAGUCUGAUGCACCCCAAGGGCCUCCUUCAGCUCAAGACCUUGAGACAUCUUGCAAAUGAUAAUUGUCUCUUACAUCAUCGCCUCUGAGGUAAGAAUGGUUUUCUCCAUUUAUAACUGAGACUACCUAACAUUAUUUCUCCCAAACUCCCAGAGUCACAGCUGGUACUUGAAUCCUUCACCUCCCGAGAUAUAUGUCAGUUAGCACAUAAAUCACAUUGUUAAACAAGAAAAAAACUUUAUAUCAGGGCAGAGUUCUGUUUGGUCUAUCAGGAGACUGAGCUCAUUAGGGACUUUCAGAUUUCAAGUAAAAAUUCCCUAAUGAUGAGUGGGAAGGAGAAGAGACUGGAGGAAUUUCAAGACAAAAGUCUAUUCAGUUCUACUUCAUAUUUUAAUGACAUUUUCAAUAUUUGGAUGGCCUAAGAGAUGAAUUGACUUCAAAACACUUUCUGAAAUUGCAGGUGACCUGGAGCCAAAAUAAAGAAUAUCUGACCAAGUGUACAUUCUCAGAGGAAUGAUAAUAAAACCCUAGACUGGGAUGUAAAAUGUUUCAUUUUAUUGCCCAAAUCCAUGAAAAUUCACCAUGGUGGAUCAAACUUUUAAUAUCUGGUCACAACAGGACAUCAUUCUUAAUGAUAGCCAGCUGCAGAGAGUAUGUGCUUGGAAUUUUCAUUCCCUACCUUCGUACUGUCAGGGAUCCUGUGUUUGAGACUUACAACCAUUUUUAAACUUUCAUUCACAAAUAAUGACAAGUGUUAAGAAAAAUUAUAAGAAGAGUAGAAAAAACUCCCACAUGCCUUUUAAACUAGAUUCAACCAAUUGUUGCCGGGUGCAUUGGUGAACCCCCUGAAAUCCCAGCGUCUCAGGAGGCUGAGGUGGGAGGAUGGCAAGUUCAAGGCCAGCCUCAGCAAAUUAGUGAGGCCCUAGGCAACUCAGGGAGAGCCUGUCUCUAAAUAAAAAAAAAUAAAAAGCGCUGGAGAUGUGGCUCGGUGGUUAAGUGUCCCCAGGUUUAAUCUCUGGGAAAGAGCGAGAGCGAGAGCGAGAGCGAGAGAGAAAGGGAGGAAGAAAGACAUGAAACAAUUCAGCAAACUAGGCUUUCCCAGCCAGCAUCAAGCAAAUUCCUGCAAAGAACACUCUCUUUACUCCCCCAAAAUUUAAAAUCCACGGACUAGGGUGUGUUCCUUUUUCUUCUCUGUGUUCAUUCCUUCUCUGCACACUAUAAGAUACUUCGACUCUGUUCAACUGAGAUUUGUGGUGAUUGUGAAAAGCUCUCCAUUGCCUGAACAUUCUAAGCAAAUUUUGAACAAGUCAAAUUGUUCUUCAAGGGGAAUACCGGGGACUGAGCCCUGGACUUUAGUGCGUGUUAGGCAAGCACUCUUUCACUGAGUGCCAUCCCCCCCCACCCCGCCCCAUAAAGGAAACAUUUCUAAGGGUUCCUGGUUAGUCUACUUAUGGAAAUCAGUAGUGCUUUGCUUUGGCAUCUUUUAUGUAUAAAAAUGGGUUAAAUACAAACAGGUGGAUACUAUUAUUUAGUUACCAUUUAGGGCACACUUCCUUACUCUUAUCCACACACAACCACGUUUCAACCACAAACAAAACAGUGGAUGCUCAAAGAGAAGUCACUAGCCUGGGGUCAAACAGUUGGAAUUGUUUUUCUCUCUUUUUUAUUUUUGGUAUGAGCGAUUAAACCCAAGAGCACUUAACCACUGAGCCACAUCCCCAGCCUAUUAUUAUUAUUAUUAUUUUGACACAGGGUGUUGCUGAGUUGCUUAGGGUCUCGCUAAAUGCUGAGGCUGGCUUUGAACACGAAAUCCUCCAGCCUGAGCCUCCUGAGCUGCUGGGAUUACAGACAUGCGCCACUGCACCUGGCUAAGAUGGGUUUCAUGUUGAGAUACAAAGUAAGGUGUGGGAAAUGGCCAUCCUGAUCUCUUCAGUCCUGAGAGCAUCUUAAAGUUCCAACUCCAGACCCUGGGUCCUUUAAAAGUAAUAAAUUGGUGUUUCAUUUAAAAAUAUUCUUUGCAUUACUUUAGAGAACGUUUCCCUCACAUUGAGUUAAUGAGCUUUUCCUGUAAAACAUGGUUAGGAGAGAUUCUGCUCCUGAAUUAUGGAAUUUGGAGCACAUUUGGGGGAUUGAAACAGCUCCUCAGAUAAAAGAAUCACCUGGUAGAAAACAUGCACGUUUGUCUCUGGAAUGUCUAAAUGUGAGUUUCGGGGGCGGCCGUAGCUUGCUUACUUUUCAUUCUUUAUAUUUGAUCAGCUAAAUAUUAAAUUCUCUUUUUAUAUUCUGUGAAAGUUCACUUUUCAAUUGUUGAUAUUUAUUUAUUUAUUUAUUUGGUACUGGGGAUUGAACCCAGGAGUGUUCUACACUUAAGCCAGAUCUCCAGCCCUUUUUAUUUAUUUUUAUUUUUUGUGGUGCUGGGGAUGGAGCCCAGGGCCUUGUGCAUGCGAGGCAAGCACUCUACCAACUGAGCUAUAGCCCCAGCCGCACCCCUUUUAAUUUUUUUAUUUUGAGACAGGGUCCCACUAACUUGCCUAGGCUGGCCUUGAACUUACCGUUCUCCUGCUUCAGCCUCCCAAAUAGCUGGGAAGUUUGUUUUUCUUUCUAUAACAUUCUUUUGCUUUUUACUAGGGGCCAGCAGGGAAUAAGUGGAGGAAGGAAGCUGGUAGAAAUAUGAAAGGAAUCUUGUAAACUUCUUUCAGGAAAGAAUCAUGAAACUGUCCAUCGACCCACAUUUACGUGGCUUCUUUACAUCUUGUGAUUCAUUGUUCACAAAUGUCAUUAGUUUUAUUUAAAUUAUAUAUAUUUUGUCCUAAUCUUUUUUUAAGAUUAUGUUUAUGAUCAUUACUUUUCUUUUAGUUGUCGAUGGACCUUUAUUUAUUUAUUUAUUUAAAUGUGGUGCUGAUCAAACCUAGUGCCUCACACAUGCCAGGCAAGUGCUCUAUCACUGAGCCACAAAAUCCCAACCCCUAUUUUCUCAUAACUUGCUUGCCUUGGGAGGCUGAGGCAGGAGGAUCGUGAGUUCAAAGCCAGCCCAGCAAAAGCGAGGUGCUAAGCAACUCAGUGAGACCCUGUCUCUAAAUAAAAUACAAAAAAGGGCUGGGGAUGUGGCUCAGUGGUCAAGUGCCCCGAGCUCAAUUCCUGGUAUCCCCCCAAAAAAAUUAUGGGAAGACCAAAAGCCUCCUUUUUCGUUUUACCUAUACGAAUAGAUAAAUGAGGGUUGUUUACUAUACAUGUGUAUUUUCAUAAUAACUGGGUUGAACCUGGCCUCGUGAUGCACAUUUGUAAUACUAGCUACAUGUGAGGCCGAGGCAGGAGGAUCGAAAGUUCUAGACCAGCCUCAGCAAUUUAGUGAAACCAUCUCAAAAUAAAACAUAAAAAGGGCUGUGGAUGUAGCUCAGUGGUAAAGCACCACUGAAUCCAAUUUCCUGCACCACAAAAGAAAAAGGAAAGAAAGAAAAACUGGGGUGAAAGUGUCCUGAUGGGCUGGUGGGUAGGCCAAGUAGUAAUAACAACCCCACGUAGUAAUUACUGAGCUGUUGCUAUUUGUGGGCAUGGGAGGAAGUACUUCAGUCUCCCUUAAUCCUCACCUCAAACCUCAGAGGCAGUUGCUGUUAUUAUCUGGUUUUGUAGAUGAGGACAGGGAGACUUGGAAAGAUUCCAGAGGAGCUAAAGGAGCCACACAACUCAUGCUCCUGCUGGAUGUGACUUCACUGUUCACCCUCAGUUCUGGAGAGAUCUCCUUUGCAGUUGUCAGGAGGGUGCAUGGGAUGGGCACUGGACUGUGUUCAGGAAAUCAGAGAAGGAGCCGGUGAAGCGGUGCAGGUGAGAGGUGAUGUGGUUGGAGCUACAAUUUCCAAGGUGGGAGAAAGUGGAUGGAGAUGGUCGGGUCCUGGUGAUGGAUUCAAUAGGAACACGGGGGAGAGGAUGGUGUUGAGGCUCAAUCCAGGCUUUUUCCUGAUGUGGAUGAGCAGCGCUAACAAAAAGAUGCAUCAGAUCUCAGCCAUUCCAACUCCUUGUUAGAGAACAGCCAAUCGGAAUGAUGGAAAGACAGGAAAGAUGAAAUACUGGAAAGGAAAUAGGACCAGGCUAUGAAAUGAUUCCCAGUCCUGCUGUGAACACUCGGGUCUAUUAGAAACAGUUUUCAACCUGGUGCAGUAGUGCACGAUUGUAAUCCCAGCAGCUCAGGAGGCUGAGGCAGGAGGAUCACAAGUUCAAAGCCAGCCUCAGCAACUUAGCGAGGCCCUGAGCAACUCAGCAAGACCCUGUCUCUAAAUAAAAUUCAAAAAAGGGCUGGGGAUGGGGCUCAGUGGUUGAGUGUCCCUGAGUUCCAUCCCUGGUACCAAAAAAGAAAAAAGAAAACAAAAAAAAAAAGAAGGGAAAGAAACAGUUGUCAGUUCACAUAUCAGUUGGAUGGUGCUUCUCAAGGGUUUAAAAAUGAUUAACUAUGGUUUGGUUUUCCAAAUAGUUUAAAUAUUCCCUUCAGAGAGCUUGUUAGACUCUUUGUUUCCUAAACUCUUUCUGUUUUAAAGACGGGGAAAAUAUUUGGGAGGCUGAGACAGGAGGACCAAAAGUUCAAGGCCAGCCUCAGCAACUUGUUGAGAACCUGUCUCAAAAUAAAACAUAAAAAGGGCUGGGGAUGAGGCCCAGAGACCUCAUGUACAUGUAAACAUCCUUCAAUCCCUGGUCCCAAGAACAAAACAAAACGAAAACUCUGUUUAAGCUGACAUCCCAAUUAAUAAUGCUUUACUCAAAUAGAAUAUAUGGACCAGCUCAUGAACAGACACAAUUUUCAUCAAACCUUGGAUCCCACAUUGCCAUUAAGUUUUAAUUGGUGGUCUUUUUAAUGAGUCUUCCACUUAGGAUUUUGCAGUCUGCACAAAAUAGUUGGUCGGGCAAGGGGUGAAGGUAAGGGGCGGAGUUUCAUAACAUGCCUUGCCUGGGAUAUGAGACCCAAGUUGGAACUACGUCGUGGUUCAGCUAUUUUCUCUGACAUUUGAUGAGUAUCUUCACAGACUGGGUUUACAUAUGUAUUAUCUUCUUUAGUCCUCGCUACCACCAGACACAGAAUAUUUUGCUUUGUCUCUUUUGAAAAUGACAGGACCAGAACUUCAGAGCUACAUAUCCAACUGUCUGCAAACUGUUUACUGUAUAGCAUACCAACAAUCAUCCAAGCAUCCACAAUUCCAUGAUUAGAAAUCUGAACUUGUUCUUUUUUUUUUUUUCCCUCAGUGAUGGGGAUAGAACCCAGGGCUUCACAUGUGCUAGACAAGUGCUCUAUCAUGGAGCUACAACCCCAGCCCUUUUCAUGCUUUAUUUUGAGAAAGGUUUUCACCAAGUUGCUGAGGCUGGCCUCAAACUUGCAAUCUUUCUACCUCAGCAUCUUGAGUACCUGGGAUCACAGACAUGCUACCAUUCCCAGCUGUACUCACACAGUCUACGUAUUUUUCUUUUUCUUUCUUUCUUUCUUGGUACUGGGGAUUGGACCCAGGGGCACUCCACCACUGAGCCCCAUCCCCAGCCCUUUUAUUGGAUUUUAUUUAGAGACAGGGUCUCACUGAGUUGCUUAGGGCCCUGCUGAAUUGCUGAGGCUGGCUUUGAACUUGUGAUCCUCCUGCCUCAGCACCCCCAGGCUGCUGGGAUGACAGGCGUGCACCACCACCACCAGCUCUGUCCCUUUCUUGAAAGUUACAAAUGUGCUUGCACCACGACAAAGUUGCUUUUUCACAGAUCAAAUUGAAAUCAUCAAUGAGAAAUCACCUUUUUGAAACUCCAAACUAAUUAAAAACAAGAGCAAGCAGACAAACAAACAAAACCCCCAAACUCUGGCCCUGUUCACCUGGCAGGAGAGGGGCAGGUGCCAAAACAAGUCUGUGGCCACUCUUUAUAUUUUAUCUUGUGCUGUGUUUGGGCCUGUUAACCACAUCAUGUGUGUAGCAAUAAUAUUUGCACAGUCUGAAGGUCCCAGCUCUGUUUGCAUUUCUCUCCGAAAGACACAUGGUGCUCCACAAAAUGCAAACAAAUAGUCAUUUCUGAGCCAUGUUCCUCCAAUAUCGUUUAUCCCCCCUGCUUUUUUAAAUUUACCUUUGUUUAUUUAGUUUGUUUAUGUGGUGCUGAGGAUUGAACCCAGUGCCUCAUGCAUGCUAGGCAAGCGCUCUGCCACUGAGCCCCAGCCCCAGACCUCCUUUCUCCCUCUUGCCAGAUUUUGUUAAAGGUGAUCAUGUGAGUUUCCCUUUCUGGUUUUUGGUGCAACACGGAGCAAGUGUUCCUGACUUCAGCCCCCGGUGCACUCAGGUGAGCACACAAUGCAUUGUUCAUCCAAGGUGACCUACAGUGUUCAAACUUUGCUAAGCCAGCUGCUGGACAACCCUGAGCCCCAGUAACAACACCACAAAUCAUGGGUAUAAAGUUAGGGAGAUGACUUCUAAAGAGGCUCCAGAGAGAGUUUUUACUUCUUAGGCUUAUGACCAGAAGUUCAUGGCGCAUUAAGUUUUCCAUUUGAAAACUAGGAGAAUCCCCUGCCACAACUUCCAAAAGUGAUUGGAGGGAGAAAACAUCAGGAUAUCUCUCCAAUAUAAGAAUUCUCUAAUUGUACUGAAAAACACUCCAGCUUCCUCUAUGUUUGCUAACAGGAGAGUGUCCUUUCCCCCACAUCCUCACUAACAUUUAUUGUUACUUGUACACUCAUACAUUUCUGGUGGGACUGAAAAUUGGUGCAGACACUCUGGAAAGCAGUGUGGAGAUUCCUCAGAAAACUAGGAAUGGAGCCACCAUUUGGCCCAGCUAUCCCACUCCUCAGUUUAGACCCAAAGGACUUAAAAUCAGCAUACUACAGUGACACAGUCACAUCCGUGUUUAUAGCAGCUCAAUUCACAAUAGCCAAACUAUGAAACCAACCUAGGUGCCCUUCAACAGAUGAAUGGAUAAAGAAAAUGUGGCAUAUAUACACAAUGGACUAUUGUUCAGGCAUACAGAAAAAUGAAAUUAUGGCAUUUGAUGGUAAAUGGAUGGAUCUGGAGAUUAUCAUGCUAGUGAAAUAAGCCAAUUCCAAAAAACCAAAAGCUGAAUGUUCUCUAUGAUAUGCGGAUGCUAGCUUAUAAUAAGGGAAGGAGGAGGGAAGAAUAAAAGUUCAUUGGAUUAGACAAAGGGAAUGAAGAGAAGGGAGGGGGAUGGGAAUAGGAAAGACACUGGAAUGAAUCAGAUAUAACUUUCCUAUGUUCAUACAUGAAUAUACAACUGGUGAAAUUCCACAUCAUGUACAACCACAAGAAUGGGAAGUUACACUCCAUGUAUGUAUAAUAUGUCAAAAUACACUCUACUGCCAUGUCUAUCUAAAAAGAAUAAAUAAAAAAUAAAAAUAAAUUAAAAAAUCAAACAGGCGGCUGGAUGCCAUGGUGCAUGCCUCCCAGCAGCUCAGGAGGCUGAGGCAGGAGGAUCACAAGUUCAAAGCCAGCCUCAGCAAGGCCCUAAGCAACUUAGAGAGACCCUGUAUCAAAAUAUAUAUAAUAAAAAGGGCUGGGGAUGUGGCUCAGUGGUUAAGUGCCCCUGAGCUCAAUUCCUGAUACCAAAAAAAAAAAAAAAAAGCUUUCCCUAGCCUUUGGAAACGGCUCCCUGAUUUCCCUUUAUGAAAUCAUGUUCUGUGUUUAUGUGUGCUGUGCUUGGUCUCACUCCAUCCCUCCACCUCCAGCGAUGAGCAGUGACCCAGACCUGAACAAUUGGAGCGAGGGUAUCUCCGGUCACAGAGAUUGGCUCACAGAGGGACACGUGACCGAGCUGGGCUAGUGAGAAGCCUGGAGCUUUUGCCAGAAUGGCAAAGGAGAGUCCUCUUUCCUGUGGGGUUGUUAGGCUGGAAGAAUGUGGAGCUGCUGCUGACCAUCCUCUCUGGCUGCUCAGGAGAAUCUACGACUGCAGAGAACCGAACUGACCCAGGAAGAGCGAGAUGGAGGAGAACGGUCACCCUGCAUCGUCUCAGCUCCCCGAGGCAGCAGUGUUGAAACUUGUGUACCCCUGAACCAUUGAUUCAGCCUUGGGCCAGUGUGUGGGGGUGGGGUGGGGUGGGGGUGGGAGAGUUUCUGCUAAAUGCAAAAAAGAAAAAAAAAUGUGGAGGCCAGCCACAGCUUUGUUUAGUGCUGGAAGAAAAACGGAUUCCCCCCACCCCCACUCUUAGAAUAGGAAUUCCAAAGCAAUCUCAUCACAUGAAGAUGGUUUCAGCAUGGUUUUACUUUAUUUGUACACAGGUGUUGUAUAUAAAAAUCUGAGCAGGUUAAAACUGGAAGGAUCCCAGAAGGUUUAUUACCUAAAAAGGCAAAGUGACUGUCCUAGGGCCAUAUGUUGGGGUACAUAUAAUGGGAGUGUCAUGGCAUUGGAAUCUGCCACCCCCCUUUCAUUAUCCUUUAGUGAAAUGGAUUUUGGAAUUGGAGAUUCUGCUCAGAAAUGGGCUGUAAUAUUGACAGUCAUUAGGUAGAGGUCAGCUUUUUAAAAAAUAAUGAUGCAGCCAGGCACAGUGGUGCACACCUGGAAUCCCAAAAGCUCAGGAGGCUGAGGCAGGAGGAUCGUGAGUUCAAAGUCAGCUUCAGCAAAAGCGAGGCACUAAAGCACCUCAGUGAGACCCUGUCUCUAAAUAAAAUACAAAGUAGGGCUGGGGAUGUGGCUUAGUGGCCGAGUGUCCCUGAGUUCAAUCCCUGGUACUAAAAAAAAAAAAAAGAAAAAAAUGUGUGGGGAGGGGCCUCUGGACUUGCCUCAGUGGUAGAGUGCCCCUGAAUUCAAUUCCCUGUACCAAAAAAAAUUAAUAAUAAUAAAAAUUUUUAAAAAGCAGAAUCAGUAACAUUAGAAUAUUUCACAUACAAUAAGGGCAAGUAAUAUUUUGGGAAGUUUUAUUUCUGUUGUAUAUAAAAAUGUAGGUGUGCAUAUACAGAGAUAUUGAUGUGGUAGUCUGACAUGUACUAUGCAUUUUUUUCCUGUGGUCCCUGGUCAAAAUUUAAAGCCUGUUUAGAAGAUACUUGGGUUUCUCUUAUGAACACAUUUUCAUCAAAAAGGAGGGAAAGGUGUACUUUCAUAUCAGUGAAGGGUCACCUGGCAUGCCAUGCAAGCCAGUCUCCACGAGUGGCAUGGAUUUGGAGGAAGUUCUGAGCCUGAGUUGUGAACACACAUUUGUCCCUGUUUGCCUUCCACAUCACUGAGCUAUCAGUAACCAGAGUGUGUUUUUGCAGUGCUUUUGGGGUUCUUUGAGGGAUGAAAGUGCUGCAUACAAUCAAGUCUGGUCUGUUUAUGGAUGUAAUUCUCUGUGCCCAGAGAUCAGGAUGUGCACUGUGGUCUGAAUUACACUGCAUCUGAUUCUCAUUAACUGCCCAUGAUUUCCCCCCCUGGAUCCGGUUUCUCUGCCCUUUCUGAAUUACUGUGCACAUGGCUGGCUUCCGCAGAUUGCUCAGCCCCGGUCAUCUGCAAUCGAGUCUGCUGCUCUGUUAUAACCCAUGCUGCAAUUUGAGUGGACCCAUAUCAGGAGUGCUUUAGACAUAAAAAAUCUGUCUGAUGAUUGAAGAAACUCCCUGAACUAAAUGCUUCUGCAUUCGAGACUUUAUUAACUAAGCACUAUGGAAAGGGGUAGAUUUGAUUGCUUAGGCCUGCAGAAAGAAAACUGGACAAUAAAUAUUUAUUAUCAAAAUGUGUAUAAUGCUAUGGAUUGAAGUGUAUCCCCCUAAAAUGCGUAUGUUGAGGCCCUCGCUCCCAAUCUUAUUGCAUUUGGAAAGAGGGCUUUUAAGAGGUAAAUAAGGUUCUAAGAGGUCCUAAGGGUGGAGCUCGAAUCCUGUAAGAUUGGUGACCUUCCAAGAAGAGAGCUGGGCAUGAACCUGCACUCCCGGAAUCCCAGAGACUCAUGAGGCUGAGCCAGGAGAAUCACAAGCUUGGGAUCAGUCUCAGCAAUUGAGUGAGCCCUCAACAACUUAGCAAGACCUUGCCUCAAUAUUAAAAGGGGUGGGGAUGUAGCUCAGCAGUCAAGCACCCCUGGGUUCAAUCCCCAGAACUACAAAAUAAAUAAAUAAAUAAAUAAAAAUAAAGGAAGAAAAGACAAGUGGAGACCAUUCUCCUUUUCCUCUGUGUAUACCAGAGUCACCAGGGAAAGCCCAUGUGAGCACACAAUGAGGAGGUGGCCAUCUUCAAACCAGGGAAGAGCCCUCACCUGACCAUAUGGGUACCCUGAUCUCAGAACCUACAGCCUCCAAAACUGUGAAAAAAUAAAUAUAUGUUGCUUUCCCUGCCAAUUCUAUGGUAUUUUGUUAUCGUAACGCCAGCUGAUUCAUUUAGAUAGCAAGCAAGGCCUUUCUCCUUUUUAAUACCAAAACGGCACUGCAGACUUUUUUCUCAGCCUAAUAAAUUCAGAGCAUCCCCUCGCUGUGUGCCAGGCGUCCCCUGAGUCCUGAUUGACUCCUGUGGUCUUCCCAAUAGCUGUCAAUCAGGGCGAGCUAAGUCAGUGUUACACACGCCCAACCUCAGGGUUGAAAACCACAGGUGCAUCCUUCUUCCUCACCCCUGCAUCUCUUUGUGGGUGGGCGGAGCUCGUCCACCGGAAGUGACACCCGAUCCGCCCACCGGAAGUGACGCACGAUGCCGCUCACUUUUCACUGUGGGGGCAAGUGCCAGCCUUUACUUCCGGAAGAUGAGGAUGUGCUAUGCUUUCGCGUCUCCAGAACCAGGAGACCCGGGAGAACUGACGACUGCAGCCUUUAACGAAGAGGAUGCUUUUACUAUCUCUGUUUUACAGACAAGAAAACACAGAGAAUUGGUGGAACUUGCCCAGAUUACCCAACCAAUAAGCCCAAUAGGGUUACCAGGCUGGGCAAGUCAGAACCCAGGGCAUCUAGUUAAAUUUGAAUUGCAGAUGAACGAGAAAUAAAACUUUUUAGCAGAAAUAAGCACCAAAUCUGCAUAUGAGAUGUGUUUAUAAUGAAAAAAUUACUGAUUGUUUAUCUGAAAUUCAAAAUUGACUUGAGUAUCCUGUAUUUUAUGUGGCAACCCUAAGCCAGGUGAUCCUCAGGCAGCAUUUGGACCUGAGUAUUUAGGCUCCAGAAAUGAGGGUUCUACUCACAACCAUCCCUUACUAAUGUGAUUUUUAAAAAAAUUUUGGUUCCUCUGCCAAUGUUAAUUUAAUUUAUUUUAUUUUUUGGUGCUAGAGAUUGAACCCAGGGGUAUUCUACUACUGAGCUACACCCCCAAUCCUUUGUAUUUUUUUACUUUGAGACAGGGUCUCGCGAAGUUAUGUAGGGCCUCACUAAGUUGCUGAGGCUGGUCUCAAACCUGCAGUCCUGCUAUAGCUGGGAUUACAGGUGUGCACCACCGAGUCCAGCUUAAAUUAAUGUUUGUUCCUUAACCACAUGAAAAAGGCUAAAAACAAAUUUAGGACCUUUCUAUUGGGGUAAAAAAACAUUUGGAGAUAUCUUUUUCCACUGAAAGUAUCAUGUAGGGUUCUGGGAGCUGGGGUCACAGGGCUGGGGCAGUAAAAGGCAAUAGAAUCUCAGCUGUAAAAAUGAAUCCAUCUAUAUCUGGGUGCAGUAGCAUACACCUGCAAUCCCAGAGGCUUAGGAGGCUGAGGCUGGAGGAUCACAAGUUCAAAGCCAGCCUCAGCAAUUUAGCGAGGCCUUAAGCAACCCAGUGAGACCCUGUCUCUAAUAAAAUGUAAAAAAGGAUGUGGCUCAUGGUUAAGCACCCCUGGAUUCUGGUGCGCGCGCACACACACACACACACACACACACACACCUAGUUUCAGUUUCAGAUGUCAUUUCCCAAACAUUCUUAGUUAAUGGAAGGGGAAAUGUGGGGCAGAUAAUCAAAAUGACAUUUAAUCCCCCAAACUUUGCCCUGUGAUUUUGAAAUGUGGCAUAUUUACCUCUUUAAUUAUGAAGCACUUAGACUGAUAACACAAUUAGUCUGCAUUUUCUGGCCACAGUAAUUGAGGAUUGAGGCUUGAGGAACUGAAUGCACAACAGCAGUAGACCGUGGGCUAUCAUUAUGCAUGUGUGUUGGGAUGAAUUUGAGCCAGGGAGGAUGCAGUCAGCUUAAGAUUUCAAAUUUUACAGAUACUUUCCCACAAGGUUGAUAGUUGAUGUGCAAAUAAGUCUUGACAAUGAAAAGAGCUAAUACAUGAUUAAUAUUUAGAAAGUGACUAUUCAUGGCCUGGGAAUUAUAUACUUGUUAAACUAUAAGGUGAAUGCCAUCAUUUGCUGUAUUUUGCAAAUGAGGAGGUGGAAGUUAGGCUAAGUGACCCUCAGAUUACAAUCAGGCCAACUUCUGAAGAGCUUUGAUUAUAAAAUAGUGCUGGGUGCAGUGGCACACGCCUGUAAUUACAGUGACUUGAGAGGCUGAGGCAGGAGGAUCACAAGUUCAAGGCUAGCCUCAGAAACUUGGCCCUGACUCAAGAUAAAAAAAAUAAAUAAAAAGGGGUGGGGAUGUGGCUCAUUGGUUGAGCACUACCCCUAGGUUCAAUUCCUAGUACCAAAAAAAAAAAAAAAAAAGAAGAAGAAGAAGAAGAGCUUUGAGUCUAGGCAUUGACAGAUGUAGCCAAGGAUGGGUUUGGAGAGUUCUUUAUUAAAAAUUCCCUUCAUUUGACUUGGCCAAAUUGAACGCUUGGCGUCAAGGAACUGAGGCCAGUGACUCAGCACCCCUGUUAGGUAUAAUGACUAACAAAUAAUUAGGAAGAAUUAACAUGUUUGAGCUCCUUGAUAAAACAUAACCGAGUACAGGAGUUGGUAUUUCCUUGCUUCUCUUUGGCCUAAGUUUCACUUCUUAAUUCCCUGCAAAGUGAGAUAAAAUCUUUCCCUAGGCAGGAUUUUAUUUUAUUUUAAAAGAGAGAGAGAGAGAGAGAGAAUUGUUUAAUAUUUAUUUUUUAGUUCUCGGCGGACACAACAUCUUUGUAUGUGGUGCUGAGGAUCGAACCCGGGCCGCACGCACGCCAGGCGAGCGCGCUACCGCUUGAGCCACAUCCCCAGCCCUAGGCAGGAUUUUAAAGCAAAGUAUUUCUUGAUCCCAUCAAGUGAACUGCCCUUUUAUGUCUUGUCUUCCAAAGACACACUCUGCACAUUCUCUCUUCUAGAAAGAGCUGCUGUACACAAAACACCAGAAUGUAUGUGUUUUUUUUUGUUGUUGUUGUUGUUGGUGGUGGUUUGGGUUCUGGGGAUUGAACCCAGGGAUGCUUUACCACUGAACAAACAUCCCCAGCACUUUUUAUUUUUUAGUUUGAAACAGGGUCUCACUCUACUGAGAGUCUUGCUAAAUUGCUGAGACUAGCCUCGAACUUGUGAUCCUUGUCUCAAGUCUCCUGAGUUGUUGAGAUUACAGAUGAGUGUCAUCGUGCCUGGCAUGAUGCCUGUUUUAAUCUUGCUACCUGGUUAAGUUCAAAGAAGCUACUUCCUCAGACGGGUCUGUGCAGACUAAUUUGAGAAUGAGCCCUGGAGAUGCUCCAGCAUCCUCUUGCUGUGUGCCUCUAUGCAAGAGUCAAGGAGAAGGAACGUAAAUGCAAGAAGAAGCCGGUUUAGGUCUGGAGGCUCCUCAAGGUCAAUGAGUUCCUUUAGUUAGUCAAUGGGGAUACAUGGAUAAGACGAUAUAUAUAUAUAUAUAUAUAUAUAUAUAUAUAUAUAUAUAUAUAUAUAUAUAUGAUAGAUAAAUAAAAUCUGGUACCAGUGAUUGAAGCCAGAGGCUCUUAACCACUGAGCCACAUCCGCAGCCCUAUUUUGUUCUUUAUUUAGAGACAGGGUCUCACUGAGUUGCUUAGGGCCUCACUGAGGCUGGCCUUGAACUUGAUUACAGGCAUGUGCCACCGCUGCAUCAUGGACUUUCACUCAUUUCUAUUGAGAAUAUUAUACUAACUUUAAUUUGGUCAUUACUGUAUCCUGGGUCCUGUCCUGACUUCUUUAUCAGGAUUACAUUUUACAGCCCUUAACAGAGCUUUAUGGACUGUUCUAACACUACUGAUGAAUGUGCAGCUUGGCAAAGUCACUUUGGAAACUGGUAGUAUUACCCAAAUGGAACCUAUGCAUGCUUUAUGACCCAGUGAUUCCACUCAAAAUAUAACCAACAGAGAUGCAUUCAUGUGUUUUCCAAAAGACAUGUUCUAGAAUGUUUUAGAAUGUUCAUAGCAGUUUGUAAUAUUCCCCAAAUAGGAACUGUCCAAAUGCCCAUUCUUUUAAUUAAUUAAUUAAUUAUUUUUGGUACCUGAGAUUGGACCCAGGGGCUCUUAACCACAGAGCCACAUCCCCAGCCAUUUUUUAAAAUAUUUUAUUUAGAGACAUGGUCUUGCUGAGUUCCUUAGGGCCUCACUAAGUUGCUGAAGUGGCUUUGAAUUCACAAUCCUCCUAUUAUAGCCUACUGAGCUGCUGGGAUUACAGGUACAAACCACCAUGCCUGGCACCCAUCAGUUUUUAAUGGGGUAAUAAAUUAUGGUACUGUGUUACCUUCAUACAAUGGGACACUAUGCAGCCAUGUAAAUGAAUCAUCUGCUACAUACAAAAGGAUGAGGGCAUAUCACAGUGUUCAACUAACACAUUCGGACCCAAAAGGUGUACUUCAGUAUGUAUGAGUCCAUUUUUAUAAAGUUUAAAGGCAGAGGUAAAUAUUGUGUUAAACAUCAGAUGGUGGGUCACCUGAAGGAAUUUUGUGUUAGGCAGAAUUCUAAGUGGGGGACACACGAUCUUUGCCCCCUAGUGUUACUCCCUUGGAUGAUCACUGCCCCUUGAGUAUGGGUAGAACCUGUCAUUUGAUGGGAUAUCACUCCUGUAAUUGAGGUCCUUAAUUACCAAGGAGAUGAAACAAGGUGGGCCCAACCUAAUUAGGUGAACUCUUGCAUGAGCAGUUAGAGGCUAGAGACAGAUGACACCAGAGACCUAGAAGGCAUCAACAGCUAUGAACUGCCUCUGGGGGCCACAGGGCAAGGAACUGUGGGCAUUGUGGAGGAGCUAAGAGUGGUCCCCAGCCUGUAGCUGAUAGAAAUAGGACCUUGGUUAAAUAGCCACAAGGACCUGAAUUCUGCCCCCCAACUUGGUGAGCUCAUGUCCUAGUAAGAUCCCAAGCUGGGGCUGUCACCUUGUUUGCCACUCUUGGGAGACCUGAGCAGAGGGUCUAAGUCAUGUCCAGACUUCUGACUCAUGGAGACAGAGUUGAUAAAGCUGCAUGUUUUUAGCCUGCUAAGUCUGCAUCGGUGGGCUGCACAGCAAGAGGAAGCUCAUUAAGCAGUGGUAGGGACUGGCAGGGGCAGCCGUCGUGCCCAUAGUGUUCUGGGUCUUGAUUUAGCUGGAGGUUUCAUGAAGGUGAUCUGUGAAGAUCUAUUGAGCUUAGGAUGGAUGGGCUCUUCUCCAUGUAUUUUGCAUUUGAUACAAAAUUUUUUAAAAACCAAGCUUUUGAAGUAGGUUGUGUAUUUUGAUUCUACCAUGUAGUUGAGGCUGUGGAAGAUAAGACACCAAACGCAGGCCCACUGAACCACUGUGCUGUGCUGUUUAGCUUGGCCUGUAUUAGAAAUGGCCAGGCUAGCUGGGCACUGUGGCCCAUGCCUGUAAUCCCAGCAGCUCAGGAGGCUGAGGCAGGAGGAUCACGAGUUCAAAGCCAGCCUCAGCAAUUUAGGGAGGCCACGAGCAACUUAGCAAGGACUGAUCUUUAAAUGAAAAAAAUAAGAAUAAAAAGGACUGGGGAUUUGGGCAAGCAACCCUGGGUUCAAUCCCUGGUACCCUCCCUUCCAAAAAAAAAAAAAGAUGGCCAGACCAGGCAAUAGAAGUAUCCUCUUGGUGUACUUUGAGCAGAACACUGCAGAAAAGGAGAGAGAGAAAGAAGGAAAUAAAUCUGUAAGCUGAAUUAGACCUAGGGUUGGAAAUGUAGCUCAAUGGUAGAGCAUUGGCCUAGCAUGCACUCGGCCCUGGGCUUAAUCCCCAGGACACUUUAAAAAAACAAAACCAAAUGCUAGAAUGAACUAGACCUUUGAGAUGUCAUUCUGAUUACUUGGGGGAAUUGUACUAAUAAUUCUAGUCAUUCUCUAGUAGUACGGUAACUGACCUUUUAUCGCUGUCCCUCUGCCACGCCUUUUCCCAGGGACCAGCAACAAUUGUAUCUAUGAGAGAUUCUGACUUUUGAACCCUGCUGUCAAGCAUUGAGAAUAAAAGUAGAGCUAAGGGGGAGGUGAGAGUCCACCAGGUGCCAGAGUCGGUGGAAAGGCAUGCACUAGAGCAGCUCUUUAAAAAACAGAAGAAACAAACCCAAAAUUACACAACAGUGUUUUAAAGAUUACUCGUGUGAUAUGCAUUCGUUUAAGCACAAUCAGACAACUUCAGAAAUUAAAAAUAUCUGUAAGUUAAAAAAAGACUCUCCUCCCUAAAUCAAGUUAACUUUUUUUUUUUUUUGGUAGUGGAAAUUGAACUCAGGAUGUGCUUAACCACUGAGCCACAUCCUCAGCCCUUUAUUUUAUUUAGACACAGGGUCUGGCUGAGCUCCUUAGGGCUUCACUAAGUUGCUGAGGCUGGCUUUGAACUCUCAGUACUCCUGCCUCAGUCUCCUGAGCCUCAGGGAUUGCAGGUGUGUGCCACCGUGCCUGUGCCUGGCCACACUGUUAAAUCUUAAGCAUGUCUUGUCUUUCCUUUUUGUUUUUAGUGAUCUGUCUAUCCAUUUAAACUAAAGGGAAAAGAAGUGAAAAACUAACAAAUAAACAGAAUUGUCUGUCUAUACUGAUUAUGCAGAAUGACAGCACACAUGCAUCUAAGACUGAACUGUUCACUGUGGUGCUACACAUGGCUAUUAAGUCCUUGAAGUAUGGUUAGUCAAGAUUGUCAUGUAAAAUACAUGGGGAAAAUCAGAACUAGGAAAAAAAAGAAUGCAAAUGUCUCAAUGGGUUUAUAUUGAUUAUAUAUUAAAAUGACGGAUUUUGGACACAGUGUUUAAAUAAAGUAUUAGAUUUGUUGAGAUAUAUAAAAUUUUAUCUGUGGCUCAUACUACAUUUUGAGAGGAUGAUUAGUCUAGCAUACUGCAGGUUUUUCACCAAAAGACAGAGCGCCAGGCAUGUUGGUACACACCUACAAUCCUAGUGACUUGUGAGGCUGAGGCAGAAGGAUUGCAAGUUCAAGGCCAGCUUUAGCAAUUUAACAAGACCCUUAGCAAUUUAGCCAGACCCUGUCUCAAAAUGAAAAAUUAAAAGGGCUGGGGAUGUAGUUCAGUGGUAAAGCAGUCCCCGGGUUUAAUCCCUAGUACCAAAAAAUGAAAUUUUUAAAUUUAUAUUUUUUAAAGGCUGGGGAUAUCUCACAGUGGUUAGAGUACUUUCCUGCAUGUAAAAGGCUGUAGGUUCAAUCCCAGGAUCAAAAAAAAAAAAAAAAAAAGUCAGGUGCAGUGGCGCAUGCCUGUAAUCCCAGUGACUAGGAGGCCGAGGCAGGAGGAUCGAGAGUUCAAAGCCAGCAUCAGCACUUAGUGAGGUGCUAAGCAACUCAGUGAGACCCUGUCUCUAAAUAAAAUACAAAAUAGGGCUGGGGAUGGGGCUCAGUGGUUGAGUGUCCCUGAGUUCAAUUCCCAGUAUGCCCCGGCCUCCAAAAAAUAAAAAAUAAUAAAGUCUUCUACGAAGGAAGGAUUUUAGGACUUUUUAUUUUUAUUUAUUUAGGACUUUAAUUUCAUGGCAUAUUUAGUAUUUAUUUAUUUUGUGAUGCUGGGCAUUGAUCAUACUCAUCAAGUACUAUACUGAGGUAUACCCAUCAGUUUGUUUUUUUUAUAAUAUUUUAUUAUUAUUGAUACAGGUUAAGUAUCCCUCAUCUAAAAUGCUAGAGACCCGAAGGUUUCUAGAUUUCCGAAUGUUUGGAUUUUUGAAAUGUUUGCCUGUGCAUGAUGUUCAUUUAUGUUUCAUAUGUACCUUAUACACAUAACUUGAAGGUAAUUUUAUAGAACAUUUUUAGCAAGACUGCAUUUUGGCUGUUAUCUGUCACAUGAGGUCAAGUGUGGCAUUUUCCACUGUGAUUGUUUACGUCUUUAUUUCUUUAUUUCAGAUACUGGGGAUUGUACCACUGAGCCACAUCUCCAGCCCUUUUUAAAUAUUUUAUUUAGAGACAGGGUCUCACUAAGUUGCUUAGGGCCUCGCUAAAUUGCUGAGGCUGGCUUUGAAUUUACAAUCUUCCUGUGUCAGCCUCCUGAUGAAUUUUUUAUUUUUAUUAACAUUAUGGUUUAAUAUUUAGAAACUACAUUAUGCACAUAUGAACUAUAUGUAGUCUGUUCUACACAUUUUUUUUUUCACUAAAUCUAUCUUGGGAUUCUUUCCAUAAUAUAUAAGUAGAUACUACACCGUACAAACCUACUUUAUCCUAUGCCUUAUUGAUUUAGGUUAGUUUUUUUUGUUUGUUUUAUUUUUUUCUGAAAACAGCUACUGCUACCUGUGACCCCAUACAUUUAUCUUAUGGUACCUGUUUCCUGACUUCCUUAGGAUUCAUUUCUAGAAGUAGCAUUCUUGGGUCAAAAAGCAGAGAUGAAGAAUUUUAGAGCCAUCCAGUGCCUUCUCCCUUAGAUUUUUGUUUUACUUUUGGCAAUAAACUCCCAGGAGUAGGGAGUGCUUAUUUUUGGUAUGAUUUACUCUGCAUAAUUAUGGGUAUGGGCAGGGAUUAUCUCUUAUGGGGGACAUAAACAUGCACGUGCGCGCGCGCGCGCGCGCACACACACACACACACACACACACACACACUUUUCAGUUUUUGCACCAGUUGUGGUAAAAGAUAGGUUUUGAUUCUUUAGAAAAUAAGUUGGGUGUCCUUAGGGAAGAAUCUAAUUGAAAUAAUCAGGGACCUCUGUAGUUCUUGGACCAAACCCUCACCUAGGGCACUGUCCAGCCAGCUGACCAAUGCCUGUUGCUGGCUCCAAUGCUGCUGUCAAUUUCAAUCAACUCUUGAGUGGCGUGGUGAAGUCCCACAAGCUCAAGAAAGCAAUCUGAGGGUAAAGAGACACUCAGAGAGGGGUUCCAGCAAGACAGGCACUGGCACUGUCUGGUAAAGUCCCCCUAACCAAGACCAUACAGAGCAGAAUCAGUCAUGAGGUUCCGUGAGCAUUUCCACUACAUUCGGUUCUGUGAAUGUUAAAGAAAUUUUAGUGCAAGAGAUCAUUACGAUACAGACUUCCAGUUUUAACCUCCUUGCCAAGUGCCUGGGGCUUGGAAUCUUCUCACAAAAUGCUAUUAUGUUGAAUUGACUUUAAAGACAUCAUAAAUGUCAACCAGUCGUACCAUCGCAUGGAUAGGAUCAGAGCCACCAUGUAAGAUAUCCAGUCAUGCCAGAUUUUUGAAUUGUGCUUCAGUCCUACCAAUGAACAAUCCUGGGACUCAAAACCACAAGAUUAAUGUUCCGUGGGAUACAUUUCUUUUCCCAUGGAAAAGAAAUGAAAUUGCCACCUGCUAGAAUUCAAGAAGUACUUAAUCAUAAAGUCGUAGCAAUUUUGGUGUGUUAACUCUUCAAGAAGUACCUGGAAAAUUAAUAGAUGCUCAAUGGCUGAAAUUAAGUGAAUUGCUAGAAAUAUUCAAUGUCAGGUAGCUGAUCAUUAUGCCAGUGGGAUCACCUAGGAUCAGUUUUAGUUUAUUAGAAAUAUAAAACCAGGCCUGGGGUGUGGAUCAACUGUAGAGCGCUUGCCUAGCAUGUGUGAGGCACUGGGUUCAAUCCUCAGCACCACAUUAAAAAAUAAAUAAAUAAAAUAAAGGUAUUGUGUUCAUGUAUAACUAAAAAAAAAAUCAAAAAAGAAAAGAAAAGAAAAGAAAAAGCCUUUCUGUAUUCCGUACACCUUUUUUUUUUUUUUUCCCUUUUGUGGUACUGGAGAUUGAACCUGAAGGUAUUUGACCACUGAGCUGCAUCUCCAAGCUGUUUUUGUUUUUUAUUUUGAGACAGAGUUUCACUAAGUAGCUGAGGCUGGCCUUGAAGUUCCAUCCUCCUUCCUCAGCCUCCCAAAUAGCUGGGAUUACAGGUGUGUGCCACCAUGCCUGGUGCUUGAAACCUUUGAAUUAUAAAUGUGUGUCUCUAGGGACUUAAAACCCAUACAUUAACACUGUAUUAUGCAGUUCUUCCGGUAAUAAAAACAAAAUGGCAAAAUGUCACCUACUGGGGUUGAAUGAAAAUGUUUUUGGAAGGACUUAAUUUCUCCUGGACUUUGAAGGGCCCAAUACCUGACUCAUAUGGAAAAGCUUAAAAGUGAUAAACUGAUGGGGGCCAUCUCUCAGGGCAAAAUUUACAGAUUGGACUUUGAACCAAGAGUGCACAUUCCCCAUUGGUGUUGAUAGCCACGUUUGGAUCUCUUGAAGAAUCCCUCUCUGAAGAAGAGUGUGGCACAACGUGGCUCUAUGGGUUGUACCACCCGAGAAGUCUGGGAGGAGCCACAGAAGUCCAUCCGUGGAAGAGAACCUUAGCAAAGGAACUAGGAUGCUAUCAGAAGUUCCUAGUUUGAGGGUAGGAGAAAACUACUGAGUCCUCAAAGAACUCAUAAAACUGCCCCAAAGGCAGGGAACCAACUUGUGAGAUUUUAUGCCUCCCAUUCAGUAAGACCCUGGUGCUGACUUGGAUAAGCUCUUCUCCCCCAAUCUAGUCUAGCAAAGGCUGGUUAAAAGAGGAAGUGGGCCAAGGAGAGAAUAAGAAGGCACUUCCGCUUUUCCAUUUUCCAUCUGGGGCUAGGUCUGAGUUGCUGGAGAGAAAACUUGAGGAGGAUGAGAAUAGAAGUUUGAUAUUGCACUACAUUGGAUUAUUUUUUUAAAUUUACAAUCUUCCUGCCACAUCCCCAGUCCUUUGUAAAAUUUUAUUUUAUUUAGAGACAGGAUCUUGCUGAGUUCCUGAGGCUGGCUUUGAACUCAUGAUCCUCCUGCCUCAGCCUCCCGAGGUGCUGGGAUUAUAAGCAUGCGCCAUCACACCCAGCUACAUUGGAUGUUUUAAUACCUGAAAAUGGGAUUGUUAAUGCUUGUAUGUUCCUGGAGAAGUCAUGGAAUCUGGGGUAUGAACGUGCGGUAGGGAAGGAAAACACGACAGAGACAGAAGGUGCGAAGAUAGCAACAGAAAAAAAUGAAUUUGUAUCUUUCUGUACUUUAAGCCUAACUCAUUUAAUUAGGUAGCUUCUCCCAAUAAACCAUCACUACCGUGUAAACUAUACUUCAGUUCCACACAACUGCAAUAACCUGAUUGAUGUGAUGAUCAUCUGUGACUUAUUAGAGGUCUCAUGAAGUUUUGUUACUAGAAUCAGAUGGUUCUUUUAGGACUAAAGAGAACCCUGAGCCCUGGAUCUGCAGCACUGGUAGGGCUGUUAGAAAUGCAGAAUCUCAGGCUCCAUCUCAGGCUCAUAACAAGACCUCAGGUGAUUCAUAUGUACAUUACCUUUUUUUUUUUUUUGGAUGCUGGGGAUUGAACCCAGAGCCUCGUGCAUGCUAAGCAUGUACUCUACCUCUGAGCUACACCCACAGCAACACUUACCCUGGGAAUUGAACCCCAAAUCUUGUGUGGGCUCAUAAUAUAGCUUAAGAAGCAUUGGUUAGAGAAUCUGCUGUGUUUGGGAUUGUCUGCUAGACAGGAAAUUCAUCAUUUUGAUCUCAGCAUUUUGGGAUACUGAAUUAGAGUUAGAAUUAUGAGACCAGGGCUGUAGUCUAGUUUUCCCGGUCCAGUCAUUUCUAGAACUCUCUUUCUGCUUCCUUCUAGUGGUUUAAUUACGUGACUUGUAAGGCCCCAAGUGUCUCUAACAUUGGAUAAUUUUAAGGAAUUUCAGUUGAAGCAAAGGAAAAAAAUAAAGCCCAGCUGCUGUUUAAUAAAGACUGUCAUAAAUUGCUUACCGAACCUCUGCGGCUUCAUCUUUUCGACUGUGAUGGAGGGUAUUGUCCAUGCAUCCAAGUUCACUGUAGGGUCCUUUGUGAUAGCCCAAAUGAAAAGUAAUUUCCUGUUUAAUAAUAAUUAUAGCUUUUGCAUUGAGGAGGAAGAAUAUUUGAUAAGAAAAGAAAAUUAUUGCUCCAAAGAAAUGAUGUUUAAAGCGGCAGGCAGCCAGGAGCUUCUAAAUCAUUUGUAUCAGUUAUUAGUUCAUACUACAAUGAUUAGCAAGUUUUUUUUUUAAUUUGGAAAUCAUAGCUAAUUGGGUUGUUUUGGUGUGUAAGAGUUUUUCAUUUUUUUUUUUGUUUUGUUUUUAGAAAAGAGAAAUUGGUCUCUUGAAAACAAAAACCAUCCAUAAACACACACACACACACACACACACACAUCCUUGACAUUCUGAAUGCAAAUCACGUGUGGUGUGGACCAAAGAGAAUACAAAGACCCAGGACUUAAGAACAUGUUUCAGGCAGGGUGAAGUGGUGCACACCUGUAAUCCCAGUAGCUCGGGAGGCUGAGGCAGGAGGAUCAUGAGUUCAAAGCCAGCCUCAGAAAUGGUGAGGUGCUAAACAAAUCACUGAGACCCUGUUUCUAAAUAAAAUAGAAAAUAUUUCAGGUGGAUAUUGGCAAGGUCUCCUUCCCCUUGUGCUUCAGGUCUGCUGUCUUGAAAGUGACUGGAUUGAACCUCUCCAUCCUGCAUAUUAAUGGCUGCUUCCUCUGAGAGAGGAUGCCUGGAAGUUUGGGUAGAGAAGAACACAGGGUCUGAAUCAACCUCAGGAGGAAAGAUGUGAUUGAUUAGUAAUGUCUGCUCUGGACGAGGGAGUAGUAGCAACCAUGGUAGCCCCACUUGUUUGCAAACUCCUGAGCUAGGAAACCUCCAAGAGCAUUGACUACUAUAAAUAUCUCAUCCUGAAAACAUUUAUAAAAGACUUUUAUUAUAAGAAAAAAAACUCAAAAGAAAUAAACUGAUUUCUAGAUUUACUAUGGCUAUUUUGGAGUCUUUUAACAACUUGAAAUAUAUGUGUGUGUUUCUGUCUUAAAAGCACCACACAGGACAAGCUCUAAGGGAAAGAAAAAUGUGGCUGGAUUUAACAGAAAUUCAGCGUGAGAUAUCUGAUAGGCUGAAAGUGAUUUAUGCAAUGAAUCCUCUGUUUUGUUAGAACAUAGAUUAUUGUUCCAUUUGGGGCCCUUUAUAUGAAACAGAUGCCCUAGUCUAUAAAUCAGGUACUCAGCGGUAAAGGCAAUGGUAUUUUUUUUUUUUGGUAUAAAUUACUGUGGAUCGAGGAAGUUAAGGUGUGGAGGAACAAAUUUUUAUUGACUUUUUGGCAUAGCACUCAUUUUAUCAAUCAUCCGUCUGCGGUGAUCUUCCUCUGUCCUCGUUCAGGGAAUUGGUGACAGGAAUGAGUAGAAAGUUCUGUGGAGAAAGUUGUUCUUUGACCUGACGAGUCUCUCCUUGGGUUUCACAGGACUGGGUAGGUAUGUGGACUGCUCUCAGCCCUAGUGAGAAAGCAUUUGGCUUUCAGAUUCAUUUGUAGCCCCCAAAAGGAAACAAGAUAAAAGUAUGCCAAGAACCUCAGAGAAAGAACACACUUAGAGUGUUCCUCUGUCAUUUUCUUCCCUGGUCUACUUUUCUUUCCCAUUUAAAAAUUGGAAUUCAUGGUUUUCAGCUCUUGCCUUCAUUGUUGGAUUGUCUUUUUAUGGAGACAGCUAGUUAUCAUUCCCUCUGAGCUGGAGAGAAGCAAAUUCAUUCAUUUAUUUAUCCAUUUAGUAAAAAAUAUUCACGCCAGCCUGGCGUGGUGGCACAUGCCUGUAGUCCCAGGGGCUCAGGAGGCUGAGGCAGGAGGAUCACAAGUUCAAAACCAGCCUCAGCAAUUUAGCAAGGCCCUAAGCAACUCAGGGAGACCCUGUCUCUAAAUAAAAUAUAAAAAAGGACUGGGGAUGGGGCUCAGUGGUUAAACACUCCUGGGUUCAAUCCCCAGUACCAAAAAAAAAAAAAGAAAAGGAAAGAAAGAAAAAGAAAAUGGUCUGAGGUUGUGGCUCAGCAGUAGAGUGCUUGCCUGGUACAUGUGAGACACAGGGUUCAAUCCUCAGCACUACAUAAAAAUUAAUAAAUAAAAUAAAGGUAUUGUGUCCAUGUACAACUAGAACAAUUUAAAAUCAAAUUCAUUUCACUCUCCAAUGGAGAGUAAUUCAUGUGGCUGGCCACCUAGGUUCUAUGCUAUGUGAGAUACGUAAGGUGUGUAGUGACCCAGGGCCACAAAUCCAUUCAAAAUGGUAAGCAAUUCAAAUAUGGGUUCUUAGCGAUUUUGGAAGUCCUUCUUCAUUUUAGAAGAUGGGUUCUUAUCGAUUUUGGAAGUCCUUCUUCAUUUUAGAAGAUGUUAAUACUUUUCUCUAUUUUGAUUUUUAUUAUUUGAGUUGGUAAUGUAUUCACAAGGUUCAAAAUAAAAAAUGUAAUCAGAGGAAUUAUUCUAAUUCCUAACCCUGAAUAUUUAAUUUUCCUCCCUUCUGGCUUCCUUCUGUUUUUUUUUUUUGGCACUGGGAAUUGAACCCAGGGGUGCUUAACCACUGAGCCACAUCCCCAGCCCUUUUUAUUUUUUAUUUUGAGAUGAAGUCUUGCUAAGUUGCUUAGGGCUUUGCUAAACUGCUGAGGCUGGCCUUGAACUCAUGAUCCUCCUACCUCAGCCUCUUGAAUUGCUGGGGUUAUAGGCAUCCACCACUACACCUGGUUUAUAACCACUCUUAUUCAUUUUGUGUGUAGCCUGGUGUUUAUUUAUUUAUUUGCAGAUAUAAAUUUAUCAUGAUUUCUUCUCCUUUUUUAUAGAAAUGAAGACAUUCCAUAUUGUUUUUGCAUCUUCUUUUUCAUUGAAUGGUUUUCCUGAGCUAUUUCCACAGGCCAUAGAGAACAUCAUUCUCUCUUUUGUAGCUAUUUAAUAUGAUGUACCACUUCUUUUUUAACUCACACACCUUUAGAUGGACACUGGGGCAUUUCGAGUCUUCUGCUCACGCACACAACUCUGCAAUCGGUAACAGGGUGAGUCUGUCACUUCACUUAGAGCUGGUUUAGGUUAUAGCUAUAAAACGUAUUCCCAGGAGUAAAAUUGCUGAGCAAAAAAAAAAAAUCAAUGCAUUUGCAAUUUUGAUGGGGAUUGCCAAUUAACUCCCCAAAGGGUUGCACCACUUUGUGUUCCUGCCAGCCAUGAGUAAGAGUGCAUUAUUCUGCUAUUUAUACAGAAUAUUUUGCAAAAUUUUGGGGCUGGAUUUUUGCCAAUAUAAUAGGUGAAAAAUGUUAUCCCUUAGAGUCUCGACUUGCAUUUUUCUUAUUUUUAGCCAAGUUGAAUAUCUUUUGUAUAUGGUUAAAAGUAAUUUCUAUUUCUUUCUCUGUGACCUGUCAGUGUUUCUCAUUCAUAGAAAUUGCUUUGAGAGUAUUUUUUCCCCGACUGUUUCUCGGAGAAAAGUCAACUCAUCUUGAUGAAUAUUUAACCUAAGGAUCUAAACUAAAUCCCUUCCAAUGCAUACUUGUUCAAGUCUUGCAGCGAGCCUGGAAGUUGGGUAGUCCCAGUCCAUUUUCAAAAAGAGGUUCAGAAUAGUUAUGCAACUGGCCUUGGGCCACACAGUCAGGAAGAGGCAAAACUGAUGUUCUGAUCCAAGUCAGCCUUACCACUAAAGUCUAUCUUUUUUGUUGUUGUUGUUGUUGGGGAGUUACCUGGAAUUGAACCAGGGCACUUAGCCACUGAGCCACCUCUCCAGCCCUAUUUUGUAUUUUAUUUAGAGACAGGGUCUCACUGAGUUGCUUAGUGCCUUAUUUUUGCUGAGGCUGGCUUUGAACUGAAGACUUCCUGCCUCAGCCUUCUACGCCACUGGGAUUACAGACAUGUGCCACUGUGCCCAGCCCUAAAGUCUAUCUUUUCAUUUUAUUUUUUUGUUUUUGUUUUUGUGGUAUUGGUUCUUGAACCCAGAGGGACUCUAUCACUGAGCCCUUUUUACUUGGAGGCAGGGUCUCACUAACUUGCCCAGACUGGCCUCACACUUGGAAUCCUCCUGCCUUAGCCUCCCAAGAUGACAGGUGUGUACCAUCAUGCUUGGCUCUAUCUGGUAUUACUGUUGGUAUUAGGUAUGGAUCAGAAUUAACUCCAACAGAUUUAAAUUUCCCAAACACACAAAGUGAUGGAGAAGCACGUUGCUACCUUCAUGCUGGGUGGCACAUGUCGGUCCUUCUAGGAUCUAAAACACACCAUGUAUAAUCCACUGUUUUAGUUAGCUUUUUUGCUACUGUGACCAAAAGACCCAACAAGAACAAUUUUAAGGGAGGAAAAGUUUAUCUGGGGGCUCAGGGUUUCGGAGGCCCCAGUCCAUAGACAGCAGGGUCCAUUCCUUAGGGCUCGAGGGGAGGCAGGACAUCAUGGAGGAAGAGUGUGGUGGAGGGAAGCAGCUCACAUGGUGAUCAGGAAGCAGAGAGAGACUCCACUCUCCAGAGACAAAUAGAGACCCCAAAGCCACGCCCCCAAUGCCCCCUCCUCCAGCCACACCCGCCUGCCUCCAGCCACCACCCAGUUAAUCCCAUCAGGGAUCCAUUCACUGGUUGGGUUAAGGCUCUCACAACCCAGUCAUGUCCUCUCUGAGCCUUCUUGCACCGACUCACAUGUGAGCUUUUGGGAGACACCUCACAUCCACACCCUAACAUCUCCCUAGUGAAUAAUUACCAGAGUGACUGAUGCCCAUCCCAGGGAGGUCUUAUGACUGUGAGACCAUGGGGAACAGCAAUGACAAGCAGCUGGACUACACAGGAAAAGGCUCUCAGGGAGGCAGGUGUCACGAAGCUCUCGUGGCCACUGUGAAGCAGGCCCAAGGUCACACUGCACCAAGGGCCUCUUCCCAUGCAGAGCCACAGCAUCUUCAGGGUUGCUGUCCCCUCUGCCUCUGCUGCUGCUGCUGUGGGGAACCUUGGGUCCCAGGCAUGCCUGCGGUCCCUCACAGAGGUCCUUUCCCGACAGCUUGGCCUCACACCUGGAGGCCCAGUCGUGCUCUGGAAGGACAGUCUCCCUUCCCAGGAGUCUGCUCUGUUUAAAAUUGCUUGUGCUGCAGAUGAAAAAUUGAACUAGCCCCCAAAGAGAGAAAUAGAUAAAACUCGGUUCCUUUGUGGCAUUUGACAAAUCUGCAAGAUUCCAAGCAAGUGCAUUGCUAAAUGAUUAAAACCCCAGGUUCUGCCCUCUGGGAAUAAGUGUGAGAGAGGGUGAUAUUACUGCUGAAUAAUGUAACCACUGCAGUUUUCUGCCAGAUCAGAAAAACAAAACAAACAAACAAAAUAGCCAGGAUGCCCUUUUUCACUCUAUUUACCAACUACGUUCUAGAAGCCAUCUUCCUUCCGGCAAGUUUCCCCAUUUUCCUUCACUUUAAUUUAUUGUGACUCAAUGAAAUAUGAAUCUGGAAGAUUUAGGUUUUCUUAAAGCAACAGUCAUGCUUUUAUGCAAAGCAGCAGAUGUGGAUGAGGUUGGGUGUAACCAGACUUUAGAAGACUCUCCUUGUGCUAGACACACACCUAUGAUCCCAGCAGCUCCCCAGCACCUCCUCCACCAUCCCCACCCCCUGAAAAAAAGAAGAGACUCAGAGGAGGCAGGAAUGAUGCCAAUCACUCACACUCAGGAGGGGAGCAGAAAUGAAUUUGGUUUUGAUGACUAUUUUUAUUUAUUUAUUUUGCAGAACUGGGGAUGGAAUCCAGGCCCUUACGUGUGCUAGGCGAGCGCUCUACCAUUGAGCUACAUCCCCAGCCUUUUUUUUUUUUUCCAGGUAGACAGGAUCUUGCUAAAUUGUCAAGGCUGGGCUCUAACUUGGGAUCCUCCUUUCUCAGCCUCCCGAGUUGCUGGGAUUUCAGUGCACCAUCACACCCAACUUGCUGAGAAUUGACUACUUCUGUAGUCUCUGCCAUUCUGUUUUUAUGAAUGUGUUUGAUGACAGCGGAAGCAGAAGUGUCCUCAGCAGACAGGGAUUAUUUUGGUUGCUCUUCAUCUGGCCUGUGAGUGGCAAAAACACAGAAAGGUGGCUUUGACAGGAGAAGCCUGCACAGCAUGCCCAAGAUGGAAGCCCUCCCCCUGUGUCUCUGACCUGCGUGUUGUUGGGGCAUGGCUGCUCCAAUUCCAUAGUAGUUAAGCAAUUGCAAAGGUGAGGUCAGAAAGGGCCAGAAGAAAGAGAGGUUCCCUCGGGCACCCCAUCACAUCAGCCUGUCCACUUUCCCAGCUAACUGAGGUCACCUUGUGUCUUUGCUUCCUUGUGGGGUGUCUGUUUCCUCCCAACAGAAAUAAACUUCCAGGGCUUGGGGACUUCGUCUUAUUGGUCACUGCUCUCCCCUCCCCCCACAGCUCAUGCUCUGUAGACCUACAUUAAACAUCUUUCUAGUGAGUUCCAGAACAAAAUUGUUUCCCUUGGAGACACUGAAAGGGUUAAUCUGUGUAUUCCUCAGAGGGCUUUGCACAUAGUAGGACCUCACAGGAAACACCUGAAGCCAACACUUGAAUAAUGAACAGAAGUUGUGCCCUUCAGCUCGGAUUAGUGCCAGUAAGAAUAAAGGUUGAGGGGCUGAGGUUGUGGCUCAGUGGUAGAGCGCUUGCCUUGCAUGUGUGAGGCACUGGGUUCCAUCUUCAGCACCACAUAAAAAUAAAUAUACAAAAUAAAGGUAUUGUGUCCAUCUACAACUAAAAAACAACAACAACAACAGCAAAAAAAAGAAUAAAGGUUAAGCCAGGCAUGGUGGUGCCUGUAAUCCCAGUGGCUCGGGAGGCUGAGGCAGGAGGAUCGCAAGUUCAAAGCCAGCCUCCACAACUUAGUGAGGUCCUAGGCAACUCAGUGAGACCCCAUCUCUAAAUAAAAUGCAAAAUAGAACAGGGGAUGUGGCUCAGUGGUUACUUGCCUUCGGGCUCAAUCUCUAGUACCAAAAAAAAGAAAAGAAAAAAGAAAGAAAGAAGAAUGGUUGACAGCCAUUAGCCAAGGAAUACACAGUGCUGUACACGCCUCAUUCACCCUGUUUACUUCUCUAGCAACCCACCAACAGGAAGUAGUAGUCAUAGUGUGAUUCUAAUUGUGAUCAUAAAGAAAUUGGACUUCACAGAAGUGAUUAACUUGUCCCUAGGGAUACCACUGAACAAUGACAGGUCCCGGGUUUGAAGCAGGUGUAUGCGAUUUGGAGGAUGGUGGUCUGCAUCCUAGAGUGUGUGUGGCCCACAGGGAGGAUGGCUGGGCUCUGUGGGCAGCUGAUUCCAGGGUUCCUGGACUAGUUGGAGUAGGAGAUGUCAGAGGGAGACUGCUCUCUGUGGGUGGGGAAGAGAUAGGAAGAAGCACCUGUGAAGGAAUUGCUUUGUCAUUCCCCAGGGACUCAGGAAGCCUCUGUCUGAACUUGUCCUAUUACUGUAUGAUGAUCAGUGAUGGACGUUCCACUUCAAUUAAAGGGAAAGUUAAUGAAGUGAAACCCAAAAGUUGGCAAAGGAGGAAAAAAAAAUUGAGCUGACUGAUACUUAAAGGCUAUCCUUGAAGUUUUUCUUCUAACAUUUGAAGUCGUAUUUUUUCUUUUUACAAAGAUCUGUGUCUCUGAGUGCAGUGGCACAUGCCUGUCAUCCCAGUGAGUGGGGUUGAGGCAGGAUAGCAAUUUCAAGACCAGCCUCAGCAAUUUAGCAAGACCUGUCUCGGAAUGAUAUUAAAGCCAAGCACAGUGGCACAUGCCUGUCAUCUCAGUGGCUUGGGAGGCUGAGACAAGGAGGAUCACGAGUUCAAAGCCAGCCUCAGCAAAUUUUUACCGAGGCUCUAAACAAUUUAGCAAGACCCUUUCUCAAAAUAAAAAAAUGAGAGGAGUUGGGGAUGUGGCUCAGUAGUUAAGCACCCCUGAGUUCAAUUCCUGGUACCAAUAAUAAUAAUAAUAAUAAUUUUUAAAAAUAAUAAAAAAUAAAAAGGACUGGGGAUGUAACUCAGUGGUUGGGUGCCUCUGGAUUAAAUCCUUAAUUCUUCUACUCACAUGACUAAGUUUCUAAAGUUUUGUUUCAUUAGGCAUUUUUUAAAAUAGAGGCAGCUAAAAAUCAUGAUCAUACAUAAUAAAAGUUUUUCACAAUGACAGCUAUAAAAAUAGGUUGAAAUUAUGCUGGGUGUUGUGAUGCAUGCCUGUAACCCCAGGGAGUUGGGAGGCUGAGACAGGAAGAUUGCAAGUUCAAAGCCUCCCUGGGUAAGCUUAGUUAGGUCUGUCUCCAAAAUAAAAUUUUUUUAAACAGGGAAAUGGCUUGGGUUAUCUCUCCUUGGUAGAGCAACCCUAGGUUCAAUCCACAAACUAAUGCCAAAAAACAAAACAAAAAUAAUUGAAAUUUACUUGAAAGAAAAAUUGUCAAACCAGGUGUGGUGGCACAUGCCUGUCAUCUCAGUGGCUCAGGAGGCUGAGUCAGGAGGAUCGUGAGUUCAAAGCCAGCCUCAGCAAAAGCAAGGUGCUAAGCAACUCAGUGAGACCCUGUCUCUAAAUAAAAUACAAAAUAGGGCUGAGGAUGUGGCUCAGUGGUGGAGGCCCCUGAGAUCAAUCUCUGGUACCCCCCCUACAUCCCCCCAAAAAAGUUUAAAAAUCUUCCCCUUUUUUUUUUUCCAGUACUGGGGAUAGAACUCCAAAAUCCUCCUGUUUGAGUCAGUGUGGGAGAAGAAGAAACAUCCUAGACUUAGAAGUCAGACACAGCCAUCUUUGAAACGCUAGCUUUGCCAGUUUCUGGCUGGGGGGGCCAAUGUCUUCUCACUACUCUGGGACUUGGUUUUCUCAUCUUAAGGAGAAAGGGUAUUAAAAUCUCUAUUAUCGUGCCAUGAAGAAUCAAUGAAACCUUAAAAAUCACCUCAUAUGGUGUGUGUCAAUUAUAAGCACCCUUUAAGUGCUGAAUUGUGCUAUAAAUAUGACAUUUGAAGUCUCUUCUGGGGACUCGUUAUAUUUAUUGAUAGCACCAUGAUGAUAAAUGGUACAUUCUCAACUUUUAUUAGGAGCCUAGUUCAAUGUAAAUCACCGAACCUACUUAGUUUUACUUGUCCAAGGUUGAUUUGUGUGUGGCUUUUAAAACAUAUUUCUUUAAAUUCAGCGAUAACAUACCUACAGCAAAGUGCACAAUGUAAGUGUUCACUGCUCCUUGGAAUUUAAAUAUGUAUGUACCCAUGUACCCCCAACCCAGCGCCAUGGAGAAAAUAUUUCCAACACUCCAGGUUUCUUUUUAAUUUUCUUUCAUUUUCUUUUUUUAGUUGUAGAUAGACACAAUACCUUUAUUUUAUUUUUAUGUGGUGCUGAGGAUGGAACCCAGGGCCUCACACAUGCAAGGCAAGCGCUCUACCACUGAGUCCCAACCCCAGGCCACUCCAGUUUCUGGUUGGUAUUUCCCCAGGUGUAACCAAUAUUCUUUAAUGACUUCAUUUUAACUUUUCAUUUCAAAACAAUUUCAGCCUUGCCAAAAACAUAUAUAAUAUAUAUUACACAUAUAUUAUAUAAUGUAUUACAAUACAUAAUAUGGAUAUAUUAUAUAUAAUGUGUAUAUUAUAAUAAUCAACAUAUUACACAUGCAAAGCAGUCUGAAGAGUUCCUGCCUGCCCUUCACCAGUAUUUCCCAAGUCACCGGACAAUGAUCUAGACCAGGAAAUCAACAUGGAUAUAAUCCUGCCAUCUAUUCUAUAGACCUUAUUGUCUUUUCCCCAACUGUUUCUCGAGGGUCAUCUUUCGGGUCCAGGGUCCAGGCCAAGUCCAUGCAUUUUAUCUUAGUCAUCUCUCUUUUCUCUGUUCCAAUCUGGGGUAGUCGCUCCAUUCUUUCUUUCAUGAGUUUUUUGUUCUAUUGAUUGAUUGAUUGAUUGUAUCAGGGAUUGAACUGAGGGUUGCUUAACCACUGAGCCCCAUCCCCAGCCCCUUUUUAUGUGUUAUUUAAAGACAGGGUCUCACUGAGUUGCUUAGGGCCUUGCUAAGUUGCUGAGGCUGGCUUUGAACUUGAGAUCCUCCUGCCUCAGCCUCCGGGGGCCACUAGGAUUACAAGAGUGUGCCAUCACACCUGACUCAUGACAUUUAAAAAAAAGACUGGCCAGUGGUUUUGUAUAUUGUUCCUUAAUUUGAGUUUGUGUAAUGUUUCCUCAAGGUGAAAUGCAGGCUGCGUACAUUUGGCAAUAACACAACAGACACAUGCUUCUUAGCGCUUGCUAUCCAGAGAUGCGUAUCCAUAUCUGUUACUGGUGAUAUGGACCCUUGAUUAUUAAAUGAAGAUGGGGUCUGUUGGAUUUCACCACUGUAAAACUGUCAUUUUCUCUUUUCUCAUUAAUAAGCGUCUUGUUGGGAAGACAUUUUGUGGUCAUGCAAAUGUGCUGUCACUCAGGGUACACCUGCCCCCUACUCUGGGCUCCAUUAUUACUGUGUGCCGACAAUGAUUCUCUAGUUUUGCUGUUCCUUCUAUAUUUAUGACCUGGAAUUUCUGUUGUAAGGAAGAGCUGCCCCAUCUCUAUUUUUAUUAUCCAGGUAUUUAUUUACCUAUUUUUAGUUUAUUCAUUAAAUGUUAUUUAGUAAAUGAAAUUUAUUUUUUUUAAAUUUUUUAUUUGUUUUAAUUAGUUAUACAUGACAGUAGAAUGCAUUUAUGCACUUUGAUAUAUCAUACAUAGAUGGGAUAUGAUUUCAUUUUUCUGAGUGUACAUGCUGCAGAAUCCUAUUGGUCAUGCAGUCACAUAUACACAUAAGUAAUAAUGUCUGUUUCAUUCUACUAUCUUUCCUAUCCUCACAUCCCCUCCCCUCCCCUCCCUUCACUUCCCUCUAUCUAAUCUAAGGUAACACUAUUCUUCCCUAGUGCCCCCCACCUUAUUGUGAAUUAGCAUCCACAUAUUAGAGAAAACAUUCAGCCUUUGGUUUUGUGGAAUUGGCUUAUUUUGCUUAGCAUGAUAAUCUCCAACUCCAUCCAUUUACUGGCAAAUGCCAUAAUUUCACUCUUCUUUAAAGCUGAGUAAUAUUCCAUUGAGUAUAAAUACCACAUUUUCUUUAUCCAUUCAUCUAGAGGGACACUUAGGUUGGUUCCAUAGUCCAGCUAUUGUGAAUUGAGCUGCUAUAAACAUUGUGUGGCUGCUUCACUGUAGUGUGCUGACUUAAGGUCCUUUGGGUAUAAACCAAGGAGUGGGAUAGCUGAGUGCAAUGGUGGUUCCAUUCCCAAUUUUCUGAGGAAUCUCCAAACUGCUUUCCAUAUUGGUUGCACCAAUUUGCAGUCCCACCAGCAAUGUAUAAGUGUACCUUUUCCCCACAUCCUCGCCAACAUUUAUAGUUGUCUGUAUUCUUGAUGAUUGCCAUUCUGACAGGACUGAGAUUAAAUAGUUUUGAUUUGCAUUUCUCUAAUUGCUAGAGAUGUUGAACACUUUUUCAUAUAUUUGUUGAUCAAUUGUAUUUCUUCUUCUGUGAAGUGUCUGUUCAGUUCCUCAGCCCAUUUAUUGAUUGGGUUAUUUGUUUCUUUGGUGUUACGUUUUUGAGUUCUUUAUAUAUUCUAGAGAUUGAUGCUUUAUCGGAGGUACAUGUGGUAAAGCUUUUCUCCUAAUAUGUAGGCUCUCUUCGUGCUAUUAAUUGUUUCCUUUGCUGAGAAGAAGCUUUUUAAUUUGAAUCCAUACCAUUUAUUGAUUCUUGAUUUAAAUGAAAUUUAUUUUAAUGAAUAAACUUUAUUUCAUUGAUUUCUUUUGUAUCAUAUGCUUGGUAUACUUAUUUACAAGUGAUUCACUUGUCUCAUAUCAGCCUGUAUUCAUAGAUUUUUAUUUCAUGUGUGAUAGUCUAUAUUACUAUGCAUAUUCCAUUGGUCAGAUUGUCCCAGCUGUGCUCAUUGGGACCGCCUUCAAGUGGGCUCCUGUGUCCUUUAAACACCCGCCACCAUUCCAAAUUUCUUUUGUAGGGUGGUAGCAGGGAUUGAACUCAGAUGCCCUGGACUACUGAGCCCCAUCCUCAGCCCUAAUUUAUAUUUUAUUUAGAGACAGGGUCUCACUGAGUUGCUUAACACCUCACUUUUGCUGAGGCUGGCUUUGAACUCAUAAUCCUCCUGCCUCAGCCUCCCGAGCUGCUGGGAUUGCAGGUGUGUGCCACCACCGUGCCCAGCUCAUUCUACAUUUUUUUAAAAAAUAUUUAUUUGGUUGUAGAUGAACACACAGUAUCUUUGUUUAUUUAUUUAUUUAUUUUAUGUGGUGCUGGGUUGGGGAUUGAACCCAGCACCUCACACAUGCAAGGCAAGCACUUUACCAUUGGGCUACAGCCCCAGCCCCUCUACAUUUUUAAAAUUAGUUUAGAACUUAUCUACAUUCUGGAAUCACCUGGUGUUCCAGGCUCAGCUGGUGCUUUUCCUUUCCAGCCCUAGAAUCAAUAUCUCAUCCAUAAUAUGUUACUUGAGCUAGGGAUGGACCUCAGGGGUAGUGCAUGUGCAAAAGACCCCGGGUUCCAAGCCCAGCACCGAAAUAAUAACAACAAUAAUAUAUUCACUAACUAACUUGCUCAGUCUCUGGAAACAUAUUGCAAUACUGGCUUCCAGUUUGCUGGUUGUCUUUUGACUUUGUUCACAGUCUCUGGAAACAUAAUAUCUCCUCAGAAUCACUAAUCCAUAUCCCUCUGAAAAUCAAAUUGAACCAGAGUUUAGCACUUGUGUGCAGUUUUUAGUCCUGUAAUAUGCACUAAAAACACUCUUAUUUAGUAUGUCUGUCCUGUCCCCACCUUUACCCCCAGUGACGUUGUCAAUUGUAACAUAAGUUCAUUUGUUGCUGUUUUUUUUUUUUUUAACUCCCUUUGGUGUCCCCUCCCUCCUGGCUGAUUUCAAUCAUGCUUUUAUUUUUUGAGAAUUAACAAGGUUAAUCCUUCACAUGGCUUCAUUUUGAACUUCCUCCUUUUUUUUUCUGUCUAGUGCCAACAGUGCCCCAUUGUUCAUUAUCCAGUGCUCCCCUACACGUGGCCUUGUAGGUGGUUUCCAUUCUUUUGCAAUGACAAACCACACGAUAAUAACUUGUGUGGAGCUAGGUACUCGGGCUGUUGGAAAUGGGUCACCAGGGGAAAUUUCUAGAAGGGGAAUUGCAGAGUCAAGAGACAGGUGCACAUAUUGUUUCGUUGGGUGAUCCAAAUUCUUCUUCCACCAGCAACGGAGGACCCUGCCCACUUCCCCACAGUCUCACUGACCCCGUGAUUUGUCAUAAUUUCUAAAUUUCACAAACCUGGCAGUUAAGAAAUGGUAUUUUGGAUUCAUUUUUAUUUAGAGUCAUCCAAUGAGGAGGGAGUUUAAACAUCUUAUGUUGAGUUUCAGGGACGUGUGUGUGUGUGUGUGUGUGUGUGUAUCACACAUACGUACAGUUACGUAGGGGGUUUUUGUAGAGAAUUAGGGGUCAUCGUACCCUCCCCCUUCUUUUAUUAGGCUUUCAAGCUAAUUAAAAAUGUUCCUUAUGUGUCAGAGACCUUAUUCUUUAAUGAUACUUAUUGCAAAUACUUGCUUCCAGUUUUCUGGUUGUCUUUUGACUUUGUUCAUGGCAUUUUUUUUGUUAUGCAAAAAUUUUUAUGUUCUACAGUCAAAUUUAUCACUUGUAUUGGCUCUGGAGUGGAGUCUUUAUUAUAAAUUCUAUCCCUACAUUAAGGUUUGUGAAGAAUUCACCCAUGUUUUCUGGGGAAUCCACCAGCAAUGGUACUUGUGUGGUUUUACUUUUUUUCCAUUUAUUUCUUGAUAUGUUUGGAGAUUAUUUGUGGGUAUGGUGGGAAAUAUGUGUUUAGUUUUUUCUCUUUCAGUUGACUUUAUAGUUAUCUCAACACCAAUCUCAGCAACAUUUGGAUAAAAUGAAUUGAGGUGCUAUCGUUAUCAUAGACUCAAAUUUUCUAUAUACUUGGACCUAUUUAGGGGCAUUUUAUUCCACUAGACUAUUUGUCUUUUCUUUUGAUUGUAACACACCAUGUUUGUUUUUUUUUUUUUGGUAGCAGGGAUUGAACUCAGGGGCACUCCACCACUGAGCCACAUUCCCAGCCCUAUUUUGUAUUUUAUUCAGAGACAGGGUCUCACUGAGUUGCUUAGGGCCUCACUAAGUUGCUGAGGCUGGCUUUGAACUCACCAUCCUCCUGUCUCAUCCUCCAGAUCUGCUGGGAUUACAGGCGUGCACCACUGCACCUGGCUAUAACAUGCUAUUUUGAUUAAAAAAAAAAAAGUCUAUUUUUCUGGUAGGGCUAGUUCACUUCAUUUUCAUUGUUGUAUAGUGUCCCUAGGAAAGAAACUGCUGUUACAGGAUAUGUGUAUGUUUAGCUCUAGGAAAUAUUACCAAGCAGUUUUCCAAAUGUUUUACUGAUUUAUAGUCGCACAGCUAUGUAUGAGAUUUUCUAUUGCUCCACAGUAUUGCCAGCACUUGGUAUUGCCAGUGUUCGAAGUUGCCUCAAAAGAAAACAUAGAAAGAUCCUUCUUCCUCUUGAGACUCAGGCACCAUUUCAAGAAUACCCUAGAAGCUCAGCCCAGUGUCACAUGUCUAUAACCCUAGUGGCCCGGGAGGCUGAGGCAGGAGGAUGACAAGUUCAAAGCCAACCUCAGCAACUUAGGGAGGCCAUAAGCAACUCAGUGAGACCCUGUCUCUAAAUAAAAUACAGAAAAGAGAUGCAGAUGUGGCUCAAUGGCUAAUCGUCCUUGGGUUCAAUCCCUGGUACAAAAAAAAACAAAACAAAAAACACUAUAGAAAGGAAGAAUAGCAGGGUUCAUUUUUCCAUACACCUAACAUGUUAUCACUCAUAACAGUGAUAAAACUUAGGUUUCAUAGGAAGAUACAGCGAAGCUGUUAUGAGCCUAGAUCCAAUGUAACGGAUAGUUUGGUAUCUGUUCCAAAGCUAUUUCUUCCCUCUUCCUUUCUAGUGGGACCUCAGUUUUGUUCAGUGUGCAUUCUUCAGAGCCAAUGAUCUCACUGCCUGCACAAAGGGCAAAUCCUGGAUAACCUAGCUAAUCUGGCUCUCUCACCAGCAAUUAGGUUAGGAAGGAGCAUGUGACCUGCUCUGGCCAACCUGAUGAGGACCGGGCUCUGGGGGAGAGAAGGGAUCCCACGAGGCUUCCUUAGUGACAGGAAGGAGGCCCUAGAGGAGGCAGUGCCUUUCUUCCUGUGGAUGUGAUGAGGCUGGAAAUGGGAGAGGCAGCUGCCAUCUGUCCACCAGCCUGACAUGGAGCAAACCCUUGAAAGAGUCAAAACAAAUGGAGACCUGGGGAUGUGGGUGGCUCAGUGGUAGAGUGCUCACCUGGUGUGUCUGCAGCAGGCAGUUCAAUCCCCAGCACUGCCAAAAAAAAUAUAUAUAUAUAUAUAUAUAUAUAUAUAAAAUAUUAAAUAUUAUUAAUCAAAUACAAUAUUAAAUUAAAUAUAAUAUGUUUAUAUUUAAUUAAUUUGAUGUUAAAGUUUUAAUUUAAUAUUUUAAUUUAAUUAAAUGUAAUCAUAUUUUAAUAUUAAAAUUUAUAUUAAAUUAUAUAUUAAAUAUAUAUAUAUAUAGAGAGAGAGAGAGAGAGAGAGGAAGAGAGAGCCUUAAAUUCAGGGCCUAAAACCUGCUCUAGCCAAGUUUCAGUCAAGUAAUAAAUCACUAAUUGUUUAAGACCAUCUGGGCUGCAUUUUUCUAUUCCUUGGCAUUGGACUUUGUUAGAAUAACAAAAGGAGGAAAUGGUGUUCUUACUCAUCCCUCCCAAACAUGAACAAUAACCUCUUUGUUCUAAGACCCCUGGUUCUUCACAUAGAGCAUUACAAUUACCUGGAAGGAGAAAAAGACCAAAAAAAAAAAAAAAAAACUACAACAAAACAAAACAAACCGAUCUAACAAAUUGAAAAACAAAACCAAAAAAUCCAAUAAACUUGAAAAAAAAAAAAAAGCAACACUAAAAACAAAACCAAAAAUCCAAUAAACUAAAGCAAAAUAAAACAAACAAGCAAGAAAACCCCAAACCAAAGGAAUUACCUGAAGGACUUAUUCAAACAGUUUACUAGAUUCUACUACUUGAGUUUCUAAUUUAGAGGCCUAAAGUAAGUCAGUGACCUGCAUUUCUGGCAAGUUACCAAGUAAUACUGCCUACUGGUCCCGAGACCACACUCUGAGAGCCACUGUUCUAGGAUACAGAUAAGAUACUGCCUGACUAUGUUGAUUAACAUGCUUUGUCCAGGUUCAUAUAUCAUGGACUUCAUCUUCAUGUCAAGAAAUACACAUUGGACCUGGGCAUGUAGCACAAUGAUAGAGCUUUUGGGUAGAUCGUAUGUGGUCCUGGGUUCAAUCCUCAGCUCUGCAAAACAUAGAAAUAGAAAUUUUUAUCAUCCUUUUGCAUGACUACCUGCUACUAUAUGGUACAGAUACUGGAAUUUGUCUGACCAUGUUACUAAUAAUAGCCACAUCUGUUAUUCUGUUUUUCUGGAUUAUUACAUCAACAUAAUCUAUCCUGCAGUAGUACCAUUGUAUAUGAAUCCUGGUUUGGUAAUUGCCAUAGGGUAAAUUCCUAAAAGUAGAAUUGCUAGAUCAAAGGGAAAUGUUAGUUUAUUUUCUUAUGUCAUGGUCAUAAUCCAUCCAAUCUCCCAUCAAGUCUCCCCUUCUACAUACAUUACCCUUAGCCUUAGGUCUUUUGUGGGGGAACUUUUGGUCUAUUUUGCCUUAGCUGGCCAGAACACAAGCCAUUUGCCUUGAGCAGUCUUUCCUUCAUGCUAAAGAAUUGGAGCACAAAAGACCAGGGCACACUUGGGCUGAUCCAAUCUUAACAGUAAUAUAACUAGUUUUUGUCAGGGAGAGAAUGGGAACCUAAGAAGUUCUUUUUUCUUUUCUUUAUUGUGGUACUAGAGAUUGAACCCAGGGACNNNNNNNNNNNNNNNNNNNNNNNNNNNNNNNNNNNNNNNNNNNNNNNNNNNNNNNNNNNNNNNNNNNNNNNNNNNNNNNNNNNNNNNNNNNNNNNNNNNNNNNNNNNNNNNNNNNNNNNNNNNNNNNNNNNNNNNNNNNNNNNNNNNNNNNNNNNNNNNNNNNNNNNNNNNNNNNNNNNNNNNNNNNNNNNNNNNNNNNNNNNNNNNNNNNNNNNNNNNNNNNNNNNNNNNNNNNNNNNNNNNNNNNNNNNNNNNNNNNNNNNNNNNNNNNNNNNNNNNNNNNNNNNNNNNNNNNNNNNNNNNNNNNNNNNNNNNNNNNNNNNNNNNNNNNNNNNNNNNNNNNNNNNNNNNNNNNNNNNNNNNNNNNNNNNNNNNNNNNNNNNNNNNNNNNNNNNNNNNNNNNNNNNNNNNNNNNNNNNNNNNNNNNNNNNNNNNNNNNNNNNNNNNNNNNNNNNNNNNNNNNNNNNNNNNNNNNNNNNNNNNNNNNNNNNNNNNNNNNNNNNNNNNNNNNNNNNNNNNNNNNNNNNNNNNNNNNNNNNNNNNNNNNNNNNNNNNNNNNNNNNNNNNNNNNNNNNNNNNNNNNNNNNNNNNNNNNNNNNNNNNNNNNNNNNNNNNNNNNNNNNNNNNNNNNNNNNNNNNNNNNNNNNNNNNNNNNNNNNNNNNNNAGACAGCAGCCACAUCCAGGAUCUUGCUGAGUUGCUUAGGGCCUUGCUAAGUUGCUGAGGCUGGCUUUGAACUUGGACUCCUCCUGCCUCAGCCUGGGAUUACAGGCAUGGGCCACCGUGCCCCGCCUGCACGUAAUAUUUUUUGACAAAGUGUGCCAGGAAGAACUGUGAUUGGGAGCAGCUCACAGAAGGGGGAGAUUUAUCUGCUCCAGUCCCUCCUGUCUUCUGGUUCUCACAGGCCAAGGUUCACCCCCAAUGGGAUCUAAUUCUUCUCUAUCCCUGUUUCAAAUGCUCUGGAAAUAGAUGGAUGACUUCCUGUGAAUGAAGUGGGCAAGUGGGGAAAGGCACUUAGGAGAACCCGAGAAGGUGAACAAGGUCCUUGUUCCAAUGCAUUACUUAAUAUCAUCUGGAGGGGAAAAUAGGAGGGACCUCAAUAAAAAACUUUCUGAAUCCCGGGCUCAGUGGUACAUGCCUAUAAUCCCAGCAGUUUGGGAGGCUGAGGCAGGAGGAUUGCUAAUUCAAAGCCAGCCUCAGCAAUGUAACAAGGCCUUAAGCAACUCACUGAGACCCUGUCUCUAAUUAAAAAUUUAAGAAUGGGCUGAGGAUGUGGCUCAGUUGUUGAAAGCCUGUGGGCUCAAUCUCCAUUAAAAAAACAAACAAACAAACAAACAAACAACAAAAAAAAAGAAAACCUGUGGAGAUCUAGGUCUCACCUGCACACCAAAGAGUCUUCUUGUGCUUUAGCUCAAAAGGAUCAUAUUCAAUUUUUUACUUCUAACCUUUAUUUUAAAGGAAAAAAAAAAUACACUUUGGGGCUGGGGUGUGUGGUUCAGUGGUAGAGUGUGUGCUUAGCAUGUGCAAGGCGCUGGGUUCGUUCAAGCUUAAUCAGUUUUCUUGCACAUAAUCCAGGGUGAUUUCACAGCUAAAAGCCUAUUCAUUGGUGUCUAGCAGAAACCCAGGACUUAUCCCAUCAAGUCUUCAGCUGUGAAACUAAGGACAUUAGGGUUCACCCUUCAUAUUUUGAAGCAUUACUCCCUAUCCUCCACGUCUGGAGAGCUGUAUUACAGACAGAGUGUAUGUCCCAUAAAGUAAACUGUUGCAUUUUCUUGACUCAGCUAUUCCUGGUUGCAAAGACAAUGAUUCAUGUAGCCCAUGCCAGUUUCCAAGUGAGAAAGCAAAGAGGGGAAAAUAAUUAGGAAGAUUCAUUCACAAGCCGGGCACAGUGGUGCUCGCCUGUAAUCCCAGUGGCUCAGGAGGCUGAGGCAGGAGGAUCUCGAAUUCAAAGCCAGCCUCAUCCCUGGUAACCCUCCCGCCCCCAAAGAUUCAUCUACAGACCUCUCGCCAUUUUUCCUCCAAGCCUACUUGUAUAAAUCCACUGGGUUCCAAGCAGAGUGUGGUGGCACACCCCUGUAAUCCCUGCACUGAGAGGUGGAGGCAGGAGAAUCAUAAAUUUGAGGUAAGCCUCAGCUAUUUGGGGAGGUCCUGAGCAACUUAGCAAGACGUGUCUCAGAAUUAAAAAAGAAAAAAAAAAAAGCUGGGAAUGUGGCUCAAUGGUUAAGCGCCCCUAGGUUCAAUCUCCAUACCAAUUAAGUAAAUAAAUGAAUAAAUAAAAAAAUAAAACCAGAGUCAGCAACACUGGGAACUGUCCUUUCUAGUUCUAAAUCCUCAAAAAAGAUAGAGGUACAACCAGAGAGAGAGAGAGCCCUUGGAAAAGAAUAGUAGGGGAGAUGAGAUUUCAGAGAUUUGAGUGUGAACAAAUGAACAAGCUAGCCUCUGCUCUUUUCUCUAGCUACUCCCCUUGACUCAGUUUCCCUGCCUCCCUCUCAUCCAGCAAUAUAGAAUGUUCUGGUGUGGAUGUGAGGUGUCCCCAAAAGCUCACAUGUGAGACAACGCGAGAAGGUUCAGAGGAGACAUGACUGGGUUGUGAGAGCCUUAACCCAACCAGUGAAUGGACCCCUGAUGGGAUUAACUGGGUGGUGGCUGGAGGCAGGUGGGUGUGGCUGGAGGAGGGGGCAUUGGGGGUGUGGCUUUGGGGUCUCUAUUUGUCUCUGGAGAGUGGAGUCUCUCUGCUUCCUGAUCACCAUGUGAGCUGCUUCCCUCCACCACACUCUUCCUCCAUGAUGUCCUGCCUCCCCUCCAUCCCCCAGGAAUGGAACCUGCUGUCUGUGGACUGAGACUUCUGAAACCAUGAGCCCCCAAAUGAACUCUUCCUCCUCUACCGUUGUGCUGGUUGGGUCUUUUAGUCACAGCAGGAAAAAAAAAAAGCGGAUGAAACACUGGACCUUACAGUUUCUCAAAUUUACACGUCCCUUGGUAGCACCCUGGAGCUCUUCUUCCCAGAUGGACAGUAUUUCUCAGUUCAAAUGACCUUUGCCACAGAGAACUUCCCCAGGCACCUAACUCCAGGGAGUCCCCAACAAUGCUCUUGGGUUUAUCCUGUUUAAUUGUUUUCUGAGCCCAUUCUACUAUCUGCAAUCACGGCUUUGUUCACCUAUCAGUUCUGUGUGUGUGUGUGUGUGUGUGUGUGUGUGUGUUGCUGGGGACUCAACCCGGGGCCUUGUGCAUGCAAGGCAAGCUCUCUACCAACUGAGCUCUAUCCCCAGCCCCCUUAAAUGUCUUUUCUGUUCUAGAACAUACAUCUCAUAAAGAUAAGAACCUCAUUUGACCUUAUCACUACUCUAGUCCUGGGGACUGGAAGAGGCUGGAAUUUAGUCAAUACAAAGAACACUUGAGGCUAGAGUUGUGGCUCAGAGGUAGAGCACUUGCCUAGCAUGUGUGAAGCACUGGGUUUGAUCUUCAGCACCACAUAAAAAUAAAGUCCAUUGACAACUACAAAAAUCUUUAAAAAAAACAACUACAAAAAUAUUUUAAAAAACAAACAAACAAAACCAAAGCAUACUUGAUGUGUACUCAGGCAGUUUGGGUCCACUUCAGCCCUGGGCACCUGGGCUCAUUUGUCCAUCUUCCCAAGCUUCAUGCUCUCAUCUGCAAAAUGCUGGCAAUAAUACCUACCUCACAGAGGAUUUGUGAAGAUCACUCACACAACACUCCUGAAAAUCAUCUGUAAUCUGUUCCUAACAAUUUCAUUUGGCUUCCAAAAGCAGGUUGAAGAAUAAAUGAAGGAAGGAAGGAGACAGCAUGCUAGGAAGAGAAGGCUUACAAUUUGAGACAGAGCAUGAAAUCUCUACAUAAUUCUAGAAUGUCAGGGCAGCAAAAGGUGUCAAAAUAUAGUGCAGUAGACUAUAGUGACACAGCCACUUUAUAGCAGGUCAACUCACAAUAGCUAAGCUAUGGAGCCAAUCUAGGUGCCCUUCAAUAGAUGAAUGGAUAAAGUAAAUGUGGUAUAUGUACACAAUGGAAUUUAACUGAGCCAUAAAGAAGAAUGAAAUUAUGGCAUUUGCUGGUAAAUGGAUGAAACUGGAAACCAUCAUGCUAAGUCAAAUAAGCCAAUCUCAAAAAACCAAAGGCCAAAUGUUUUCUCUGAUAUGUGGUUGAUGACUUAUAAUGGGAGUGGGGAGGAAGGGACGAAUAGAAGUUCAUUGGAUUGGGGCUGGGGUUGUGGCUCAGUGGUAUGUUUGCAAUGUAUAAGGCACUGGGUUUGAUUCUCAGCAUCACAUAUAAAUAAAUAAAUAAAGGUUCAUCAACAACUAAAUAUAUUUUUUUUAAAAAAGAAGUUCAUUGGAUGAGACAAAGGGGAAUGAAGAGAAGGAAGGGAUGGGAAUGGGAAAGACAGUGGAGUGAGUGGGACAGAACUUUCCCGUGUUCACAUAUGAACACACGACCAGGGAAACCCCACAUCAUGUCCAACCAUAAGAAUGGGAGGUUAGACUCCAUGUAUGUGUGAUAGGUCAGAAUACACUCUACUGUCAUGUGUAACUAAAAACAACAAAUAAAAUAUUUUAAAAAAUGUAUUUGAUAAACAAAAGCAAAAAAUAAAACUUUAAAUAAAAAUAGUGCAGUGACUUUCAGAAGCCCUGGGGUCUCUUGAGGGCCCCUAAACAGUAGUGAAAGAGAACAGUUGGGAAAAAGAGGCUGAAUCCUGGACCGUCUUUCCCUCAUUCAGUGAGAUGAGCGCCACUUUCUUCUUGGACAUUAUUUCGGGAGCUGGCUGUCUAUUGCUCUACCUGUCCCCCUCCUUUCCUCUGAGGCUCUGAUUUUGUGUGUAGUGGCAACGGCUCAACUUCACACCAUAGAGGAUGCUCGGUGUCACUCAGGACCUUCAGCUUCUCGGCCUCCCUGGCAGCUGCGAGUUGAUGUGUCCCCCAGUCUGGCCACGAAACCCCAGAGGUGAACUGCUGCUGCUCAAGUUUUUGGAAAAACUUUGACUUCCUUGUUAGGAAGGGAACCCCGCAUGGCUGGUGCCGUCUCUCUCUUCCUGGAUCCUCUCUUCCACGCUAGCAUCCCAUCUGCCACAAAUCAGGAGCCGUGUGGCCAUGUAGCUGUGAGCCUGAUGGGUGCACCGGUCACAGGGACACAUUGACUAUAGGGACACAUUGGCUCUGACCUCCAUGAGCCUCUGAAGUUGUUGCAGCAACCUCCUGGCUGGAGACUUCUUGCCACGGAAGGAAGAAGCCACUGUUGUCUGAGUCACUUCAGUUGGGGUUUCUGUCACUUGUAUCCCCAAAAGCAGUCCUGACAGUUACAUGCAUGUUGUGCUUCCCGAUAGGAUUGUGGGUGCAGCAGGGAUUCUGAGGCUGGUAAGAAUUUGAAAUAUCAUGAUUUCAUUCCCUCUUCUCAUUUGACAGAUAAGGAAACCAUUCUGCUGCGUAUUGCUAUGUUAUAAACCUAGUGGCUUGGAACAAAAGCUCUUUCUUCUUCCUUUCUUUCUUUGUCCCCCACCUUACCUUUCUUUCUUUCUGAUAUUGGGGAUUCAACCCAGAGGGACGCUCCCACUGAGCUCCAUCAAUAGCCCCUUUAAUUUAUUAUUUUGAGACAGGAUCUGUUCUACUCAGCUUUUACUCUGCUGUGACUAAAAGACUCAACCCAAACAAUUGUAGAGGAGGAAAAGUUGAUUUGGGGGCUCAGGGUUUCAGAGGUCCCAGUCCGUAGACAGCAGGCUCCAUUCCUCAGGGCUCGAGGGGAGGCAGGACAUCAUGGAGGAAGAGUGUGGUGGAGGGAAGCAGCUCACAUGGUGAUCAGGAAGCAGAGAGAGACUCCACUCUCCAGAGACAAAUAGAGACCCCAAAGCCACACCCCCAAUGCCCCCUCCUCCAGCCACACCCACCUGCCUCCAGCCACCACCCAGUUAAUCCCAUCAGGGAUCCAUUCACUGGUUGGGUUAAGGCUCUCACAACCCAGUCAUGUCUCCUCUGGACCUUCUUGCAUGUCUCACACGUGAGCUUUUGAGGGACAUCACAUCUAAACCAUACAAGGGUCUCUAGGUUGCUGAGGCUGGCCUAGAACUUGAUCCCCCACCUCAGCCCGCUGAGUUGCUGGGAGUAUAGGAGAGUGCCACUGUGCCCCACGAAACAGCUUUUUUGUUCUCUCUUCACAGUUGUGACCUGACCCCAGACAGGUUCUGUUCCUCUUGGUGUCUGUGGUGGCUCAUGGGCCACAUUUGCCUCACACCCCGGCAGGAAUGGCUGGAAGGCUGGGCUCACCUGGGUCACUGUCCUCUCUCUCUGUCUCCUCAAGGAGUCUCAGAGCUUCUUGUCUCUGUCCACGUGGCCUCUGCAUUUGGCCUGCACAGCCAGCUGGCCGGACUUUCUACGUGGCUCCUCAGGCUCUUCAAGGCCUCUAAGGCUUAGGCAUAGGGUCUGGCAUAGGGUCACUUUUGCCAUGUCCCAUUAGUUUAAAUGAGUCACAGGACCAUUUGGAUUCAAAGAUAGAGGCUCUCGAAGGUCGUGAAUACAAGCAGGUGUGCUUUACUGGGGGAUGGAGCAUUGACGAUUAGCUGCCACCAAAACUGAGGCCCAGAUUCUGAAAGCUAUUUGCCUCAGCUAAUAGUCAUGAUUAUUUAAAUUAGAAUAUCAAACCAAGUGCAGUGGCACACGCCUGUAAUCCCAGUAGCCUGGGAAGCUGAGGCAGGAGGAUCAUGAGUUCAAAGCCAGCCUCAGCAAAAGCGAGGUGCUAAGCAACUCAGUGAGACCCUGUCUCUAAAUAAAAUACACAAUAGGGCUGGGGAUGGGGCUCAGUGGUUGAGUGCCCCUGGGUUCAAUCCCUGGUACCAAAAUAAAAUAAAUUAGAAUAUCACUGGAGGACUGAGAGCUCCAAAGCAGGAUGGUAGGGGGAUGAGGGGAAAGAGAAAGUAUUUAUCCUUAGCCCAGGUUUUCAGAUCUCUCCACUAUUGAUAUUUGGUGUUGGGUAAAUUGUGUAGAGGGCUUUCUUGUGUAUCAGCUGCUGACUGUAGUUCAGAUGUCGCCCCAAAGGGCCAUGUGUCAAAGGCUUGGUCCCCAGGGCAGUGCUACUGGGAGGUGCUGUGGACUCAGGAGGUGGGGCUCAGUGGGGUCCUUAGGUCAUUGGUACAUGCUCUUGAAGCAGCUUGUGGGACCCCAGUCUCUUCCUGUUUCCCUCCUACUCAUAAGAUAAGCCAUUUAGCAAUUUGCUGUGUGCUCUCCAACAUGGUCAUCCGUCACCCCCAGAUCCAAGCAUCGGGACCACUCCAUCUUGAACUGAAGCCAAAACUCCAAAACGGUGAGCCAAAACCAACCUUUUAUCUUUAAAAGUUAAUUGUCUUGGGUAUUUUACUCAAGUAUCACGAAGCUUAUGCCCUCUAGAUGGAUGGACACAUAGACACAGCAUCCUCUAGAUGCUGUAUCUUCUCCCCUUAAUUUGUGACAAUAAAAAACCUCCAGAUGUUGCUAAAUGUCCCCUUGGGUGAAAACCCACUCUUUAGUUGAGAACCACCAUCCCAGCCUUAGGGGUGUUUAGAAGCCCAGCUGGGCGGAAGGCCUGUCUUCCAGGUAGACCAGUAGAAUUUAUUUAUUUGUACUGGGGAUUGAGCCCAGGGGCACUUAACACGGAGCCACAUCCCCAGCCCUUUUUAUGUUUUGUUAUGAGACAGGGUCUCCCUGAGUUGUUCAGGGCCUCACUAAGUUGCUAAGGCUGGCCUUGAACUUGUGAUCCUGCUGCCUCAGCUGCCUGAGCACCUGGGAUUACAGGUGUGCACCGUUGCACCUGGCAACUAGUAGAAUUGAUAUUCUUAAAUUCUUCCAUUGAGAAAUGAAAAGGACAAGGAGAGUCAAUUUUAUAGUCUGGCCGCAUGUUUUACGUGGAGUCUUUACAUUGGCUCAAGGUGUGUUAAGUUUCUGCUCUAAAUGCCCCAAGUUUAUUUUAUUUUUUUUUUAAAUUUUUUUGACGUUGGUGGACCUUUAUUUUAUUCAUUUAUUUAUAUGUGGUACUGAGAAUUGAACCCAGUGCCUCACACAUACUAGGCAAGUGCUCUACCACUGAGCCACCACCCCAGAGCCCCAAGUUCAUUGUUAAGCUUUUAAGAUGAUGUCCCCCAAGUGAAAUCUGAACAGGUGUCCUGCUUCACGGCCAGUACACAGCACGAACCAACUCCCUCACGCCCUUGCCUUUUCUUUUACUAAGAAUCAUCUUUAGAGAAGUAGGUGGAUUUUAAAGCCCUGAGGUUGGGUGAGAUCAGCUUGAGAAAUAGGCAGGUAAAGAAAGAAGAAAAGGUAGUGGUGUAGGCCAGAAUCCACCCUGAGGCCCUCCAACAGGUAGAGGUGGGGAGGGAGGAAGGGAGGGAGGGACAGACAGAUAGACAGAUGAUAGAUGGACCCAUAGAUACAUAGAUGACAGAUAGAUGGACACAGAGACACACACAUAGAUGUGUGCACAGAUAGAUGGACACAUAGAUAGAUAGAUACACAGAUACAUAGAUACUUAAAUAGAUAAAAUAGACCACCAGGAUCCAGAAAAAUGCUUGUAAACAGAAGACCAGAAAAAUGGCUGAAUAUAGUGGCAUACACCUAUAAUCCUACCUCCUCUGUGGCUGAGGCAGGAGGGUCGCAAGUUCCAGGCCAGCCUGGGCAACGCUUAGUGAGACCCUAUUCCAAAAUAAAAAAUAAAAAGAGCUGGAGAUGUGGCUCAGUGGUAAAGUGCGCCUGGAUUCUAUCCUGGUACUGGAAAAAAAGGAAGGGAGGGAGGGAGGGAGGAAAAAGAAAAGAAAUAAAAAAAAAUGUAUGUAUGUGCACGAAUACACAUAUAUAUAUACACACAAGCCUUUUGUUUUUUUCCUAGUUUGUAGAUACACACAUAUGCAUACACACAUUAAAAUGCAUAUACACACGUAUAUGCACAUACUUAUAUACAUGCGUGCAUAUAUUUAUGUGUGCAUGUGUGUGCAAACUUCAUAUGCACGCAUGCAUAUGUUGUAUGUAUACAGAUGUAUGUACAGAUAUAUCCUACUCAGUUGAAAACCUAUUGAAUCUGUGGAUUAGCAAGAAUAAUUGGAAGUAUCUCUGAUUAUACUUGGACAAACAGAGGAACUGACCUAUCAGUGCCGGGUCCAGUCUUGGGAUUGCCUCCUGUAGAACCUGAGGGGGAAUGCCAUGAGCUCUGGGGAACUGGCCUGCCUAAUACACCCCAGGGUCCACAGUGCCUAGAAAAGGACGUGACACAGGGCAGGUGCUCAUGAUGAGUUUGUUGAAUGAACAGGUGUCUGUACUCAAACAACUCAGGAAGGGCCAGGUGACUUGCGUGAUUAGGUAUAGCUCUGUGUGACUGCAUCGUGGUCAACGCUGCUGGUCCCUGCCUGGAUCCCGUCCAUCUAGAGGGACUCUCAGCCUCCGGCUGCUGUGAGCAGUGGCUUGAUCCAGGUCAGAGAUGAUGAUCUGUGACCAGGGAUUGUCAUAGAAAUAUUAGAGGUGGUGGAUUCUGUUCAGUCUCCAACACUCUAGGGGGGAAAGUGGUACCCAACCACUGGGUACGUUUUGAUAGCAGAGCCGACCCGAACUCCUGGUGGCUAGGACAUGGAAAAGUGACACAAAGAGAACAGGCAAGGAUGAUCCACGGGUUCUGGCCAGAGCAGCUGGGUGGGGGAAGUUGAGGUUUGCUAAGAUUUGGAACAAGUGGGGCAGAGACACAGAAAUGCAUAUUUGAUCAUGUUAAUUCCCAGCGUAUCUGCUAGACGUCCAAGAGGACAAACUGAGUAAAUGGUUUAAUACUUGAAUCUGAGGUUCACAAGAUAGACUGGGGCUACAGAUAAUUUGGGAGUUAUCUGCAUAUGGAUGAUGUUUAAAGCCACAAGACUGAAAAAACAAACAAGAAAUCACCCACAAAUUGAGUGUGUUUAGAGAACAGAACAAUAAGGGUUGAACCCCAGAAACUUUUUUUAAAUAUAUUUUUUAUUUGUUCUAAUUAGUUAUACAUGACAGUAGAAUGCAUUUGGACACAUCAUACACAAAUGGAGUGCAACUUCUCAUUUUUCUAUUGUACAUGAUGUAGAGGUACACAAGUCAUGCAAUCAUAUAUGCACAUAGGGUAAUAAUAUCCAAUUCAUUCUACUAUCCUUCCUACCCUCAUACUCCCUUCCCUCCCUUCACUCCCCUCUGUCCAGUUCAAAAUACCUCUAUUCUCCUCCCCCUUAUUGUGAAUUAGCACCCACAUAUCAGAGAAAACAUUUGGCCUUUGAUCUUUGGGAUUGGCUUAUUUCAGUUAACAUGAGAGUCUCCAUUUCCAUCCAUUUACCAGUAAAUGCCAUAAUUUCAUUCUUCUUUAUGGCUGAGUAAUAGUCCAUUGUUUAUUGAUACCACAUUUUCUUUAUCUAUUCAUCUGUUGAAGGGCACCUAGGUUGGUUCCAUAGCUUAGCUAUUGUGAAUUGAGCUGCUAUAAACAUGGAUGGGGCCAUGUCACUCUAGUAUGCUGAUUUUAAGUCCUUGGGUAUAAACCUAGGAGUGGGAUAACUGGGUCAAAUGGUUGUUCUAUUCCUAGUUUUCUGAGGAAUCUCCAGACUGCUUUCCUUAAUGGUUGCACCAAUUUGCAGUCUCGCCAGCAAUGUAUGAGUCUAUCUUUUUCCCCACAUGCUCGUCAACAUUUAUUAUUGCUUGUAUUCUUGGUGAUUGCCAUUCUGACUUAACCCUAGGAGCUUUGAAGGUAAAGGUCGGUCCCAAAGUUUCUAUAAGAGUCACUUCCUUGUAGUGUAAUAAGAUUCUCAGUCUUUCUCAGAUCUACAAAUUUGGUUUUUUUACUCAUCAUUUGAAUCAAAUUGUUGCUGCUCCAGGUAUCUAUGGCUGCAUAACAAACUUGACCAAAACUCAGUGACUUAAGACACCAUUUAUUUUAAUACAUCUCCUCAUCUUGCAGUGUCCAGUGUGGGCUGGGCUGGCGAUUCUCCUGGUUUUCUUGGGGUAGCUGGAAGACUGUCACUGGUAUUCUGCUGGGGAAUGAAUGAAUACAUUCAUGGAAGACUGAUGUGGAGUGAAUCUUGUGGCCGAUCACGUAGGAGCAGGUGAGAAGGGGUUCCGUUCUCCUGCGCAGGAAGGAGGGUUGGGCCUUCCUGGAGAGAGGCUUUCAGGGCAGCUGCAGAAGUGCAGGGAAAUGACCAGAAGUCUGGAGAAUUGCAGCAUAAAUAAAGAGAGACAGUUUAUAGGGAGCAGAGAAUCCAGAAUCCCGCUGGUGUGCAGGUGUUCCUCGAGAUCACUGCUUUCAUCUCAUUGAAGACUGAGCCUUGACCUUGGGAGCUGAGGACUCCUGUGUCAGAAGCCAUAGCUCUAUGUAUUUCUUUUUUGGGGAGAAUACCCAGAAUUGAACCCAGGGGUGCGUAACCACCAAGCCACAUCCCCAGCCCUCUUUAUAUAUUUUAUUUAGAGACAGGGUCUCACUGAGUUGCUUAGGGCCUCACUAGGUUGCUGAGGCUGGCUUUGAACCUGUGAUCCUCCUGCCUCAGCCUCCUGAGUCUCUGGGAUUACAGGUGUGCACCACCCCACCUGGAUCUACGUACCUCUCAGGGAAUAUGUUCUAGACUUUUCAGGAAGAAAAAGUUGUUUCUUCUUUUGUGUCCUCACAGCAUUUUGAACCCAGGAAAUCCUCAUUAAACUGAUGAAAACGUCAGAUAAAGACACUAAAAUGAGGAGCUCAUUUUAAUGCAUAUUGUAGGCAUGCAUUUGGGGAGAGGGCAGAUUUAGUAGCAAUUUACCUUGAAAGAAAAUAAAAAUAAAAUUACAAAAGAAGUUUUUUUUUUCUUAUUCAAUUAAAUGUUAUUUCUGGUUGUGACUAGAUGCAAGAGACAAAGAACGAAAUAAGUGCUGAUUGUUUCAUUUGUCAUACAGUUUUAUUGAAUAAAAUUUUAUAAAAUGACAAGUCAUCCGUCAUUCAAAUGUCUCUUUGCUAUUUUAUUAAUGAAAGAUUGCUUUUGCAUACUCACACACACACAUACACACACACAAUGCUUUAAAAUUUUUUGGUCUGUAAUUUAUUUAUAGAAACAGCAUAAGUUGGAAGUAUACAGCUCAAUGAAUUUUCCUUCUUUUUUUUUUUUUGGUACUGGGGAUUGAACUCAGGGGCACUUAACCACUGAGCCCCAUCCCCAGCUGUUUUUAUAUUUUAUUUAGAGACAGGGUCUCACUGAGUUGCUUAGGGCCUCGCUAAGUUGCCAAGGCUGGCUUUGAACUUGCCAUCCUCCUGCCUCAGCUGCUGGGAUUUCCAGGCGUGGCCGGUUCUCAUUUUCAUAAACCAUCCCCAGGGACGCAGUUGGUACCUAGCUCUAGAACAGAACAUGACCAGCAGCUAAGUGUUCCCCUUGUCCAAAUGCAAUCAGGACCCAACCCUACCCCUCCACCCAGGUAGCAACUCUCCUGACUUCUAAUAAUAGGGGUGAGUUUUGAUUGUUCUUAAAUUUUAUAUGAAUUGAACUGCAUUUUGUUAGUUGGCUUCUUUUUCUCAUAUCUGUAAGGUUUACCUAUGUUGUUGCUGGUAGUGGUUUUUGUUUGUUGGUUUGUUUUUCUUUCUUUUUAUUUUCUUUUUGGUUGGUGGUGUAGGUCCUUUAAAAAUGCAUCAUUAUUGCUGUGUUCUCCAUUGCAUCAGAGAUACCAAAGUUCAUCUGUUCCACCGUUAUUGGGUAUUUGGGAAGCUUCCAGUUGGAGGUGCUUGGUCAUGCCCAGGAUACUCCAUUCCAAAAUAUGUCACUUGGCAUUUGAGAAAGCUGCAGAAGCAAGAAAGUCUCUGUGCUCUUUGUUGCCUUUGAAGCAGUCCACAGAGUCUAGCCAGCCUUCCCCUGAAGGUCAUAAACCUUCUUCCCCAGAAAUUCCCGGCAUUCCCUUCUAUCCCAACAGAAAGGAAUGAAGAUGAGGAGGUGCCUAAGUCCUCCUGCCCCCCAGUUUUUCACCAUUAAAUCCUACUCUGUUCUUCCCUCACUAUACUUCUGCCUGCCCCCUCCAUAAAAAAUAUAGCUUCUGUAAUCCCAGCAACUCAAGAGGCUGAGGCAGGAGGAUUUCAAGUUUGAGACCAGCCUGGGAAAUUUAGUGAGACUCUGCUUCAAAAUAAAAAUACAAAAAAGGGCUGGGGACUUGGCUCAGUGGUACAGUACCUGGAUUAAUCCCCUUGUGCUACCCCACCACACACACAUUUAUUUAUUAUGUAUUUAUUUUUUCCUGUUUGGAUCUUCAUUUCUGUUACAGUUUGAAGGUGACGUGGCCCCCCAAAGCUCACGUGUGAGACAGUGCAAGAAGGUCCAGAGGAGACUGACUGGGCUGUGAGAGCCUUAACCCAACCAGUGAAUGAACCCCUGAUGGGAUUAACUGGGUGGUGGCUGGAGGCAGGUGGGUGUGGCUGGAGGAGGGGGCAUUGGGGGCGUGGCUUUGGGGUCUCUAUUUGUCUCUGGAGAGUGGAGUCUCUCUCUGCUUCCUGGUCACCAUGUGAGCUGCUUCCCUCCACCACACUCUUCCUCCAUGAUGUCCUGCCUCCCCUCGAGCCCCGAGGAAUGGAGCCUGCUGUCUAUGGACUGGGACCUCUGAAACCCUGAGCCCCCAGAUAAACUUUUCCUCCUCUACAGUUGUUCUGGUCAGAUCUUUAAGUCACAGCUGUGAAAGAGCUGACUGAAACAAUUUCUAAAAGUUCCCAGGUCACAUAAAACUUAAGAAGGAAAAUUCGCAUGUUUUUCUCUUGUUAAUCUGUCUUUUGUUACAGGAGCCUGAGCAUGAACCUAGACUUGACAUGGAAAAGAUAUUACUGUGUCUCUUUGUGCCUGUCAUGAACAUUUUAGGGCAAGAGAUUUGGUGCACUUGUGUAGGCAUUUCUCUUGGGUCACGCUGUGGUUGUUCUUGUCUGGGAAUCUGUGAACUUGGCCCUGAUCAAAAUUGUUGCUUCAGUGAUGUAUCCUUGUUAGAACUCUUAUGUGUGGAUGUCACUCAGUGAGAAAGCACUUGCCUAGCAAGUGUGAGGCCCUGGGUUUGAUCCCCAGUAUAGCAAAAAAAAAAAAAAAAUCAAUGAUUCAGCACAAAAAUUAAAAGUUAUGAUACCCCCAAUUUUGCAGAUAUAGAAGCAAAAUAGCAGGGUGCAAAUGAGGUUAUUAAAACAAUUUUUUUAUCAUAGGAGAAAUAGCAUUGAUGCUUCUGUCUUGAAAACAGAUGCCCUCAAGGAGAUGAAGCUUCCCGUUAAGCUCUCAUUCAUGCUGUGUCUCCAGUACAUGCAAAAAAUGUCCCCCCACACAUCACCCAGCAACUGCAGGCGGAGAAGUGGUCCACUUCUUUAAAAUAGAUGAAAGACUUUGCAGAGCAGCGAGAAGUUGACAUAUCUCACCUGUGGGGGUGCGGGAUUGUCAUCAAGGCCCUGCGUCAUGGUGAAAUUGGCAGUAUUUUUGUUCUUCCUUUUAGGCAGAUAAAUAACAAUGCAUUCAGGAACAGCAAUGGCUUAGAGCUGGUGACAUAUGGUAAUUAGGAGAAUAUUAAAGCUAUAAUUUAUUAGUGCUAGUGUUGUACUCAGCAAUUUACAAACAUUCUCCCAUUUAAUUUAAUCUUCACAGCAGCUUUAUAUGAUAGGGAAGAUUUUGGGCCAGGGAGAAAUUAGGUACUUGGAGCAAAGCUACGUGGUAGCGAUGGAGUCAGCCUCCUUCUGAAUGAUUACUGCCCAGGGCUGGGAGGUCUGAGAGUGUCCAGCUGUGCCAGUGGAAGAUGAGUUCAGUCCAGGUGAGGAGGGCAGAAAGGUCCUAUUGGCAUUGUGUCAGGGUAGUGUUCUCUCCUCCAGUUUUACCAGUCAUAAAGCCACCUCCGGUCCCAGUUCUCACCCUCUGUUAACUGCAUGGGUUGAUAUAGUUUAAUAGUGUUCUUAUAAUCUCCCUGUUUCGAUAUUAUCCCCCGUCGUGUCUGUUUUCAACACAACGGCUAGAGUGAAUAUUUUUUUUAAAAUUUUUUUUGUUGGUUGUUCAAAACAUUACAUAGUUCUUGAUAUAUCAUAUUUCACACUUUGAUUCAAGUGGGUUAUGAACUCCCUUUUUUACCCCGUAUACAGAUUGCAGAAUCAUAUCAGUUACACAUCCAUUGAUUUACAUGUUGCCAUACUAGUGUCUGUUGUAUUCUGCUGCCUUUCCUAUCCUCUACUAUCCCCCCUCCCCUCCCCUCCCCUCCCAUCUUCUCUCUCUACCCCCUCUACUGUCAUUCAUUUCUCCCCCUUGUAUUAUUUUUCCCUNCCCUGUAGCAUGCUCUUUUUAGGUCUUUAGGGAAUAGACCGAGACUAGCUCAGCGGUUCCUUCGACAGAAAACUUACAAUAGAGUGAAUAUUUAAAACCUGAAGCAGCCAGGAGCAGUGGCACUGGCCCGUAAUCCCAGCACCUCGGAGGCUGAGGCUGGAGGAUCAACAGUUCAGAGCCAGCCUCAGCCAUUUAGCAAGGCCCUAAGCAACUCAGUGAGAACCUGUCUCUAAUAAAAUAUUUUUUAAAAAAGGGCUGGGGAUGUGGCUCAGUAGUUGAGCACCCCUGGGUUCAACCCACAGUACGUACUAAAAAAAAAAAAGUACGGCCUAAAGUAGAAAAAAAUAAACAAAAUCUAAAGCAGAAUAUGUCACUUAUCAGGACUGGGGUGUAGCUCAGUGGUAGAGCCCUUACCUAGAAUGUAGGAAGUCCUGGGAUUGAUCCCUAGCACUGCAUAAACAAAUAAAUAAGCAAGCAAAUAAAUAAGAAAUCCUUCCAAGGAUUCCUACCUCACUUGGCAUGAAAACUGAAGUCUUCACAGCCCCCUAUAAGGCCUUGGGCCUGGUGGCCUGAUGCCACCCUCUGACUUCUUCUCUAAUCACCCCCCUCCCGUAGUUCCAGCCAUAGCAGCCUUUCUCAGUGUGAGUCCCCCACCUGGAACAGACGUGGAGACACUGAUUUGAGUGUCAAUCACUUUUUUUGGAAAGUGAAGGGAAUGCCCUUAGGAAAUUGAACGGGAGGUAGGAAAGGGAACUCUCCCAAUACAGGGUGUGUCGCCAAAGCCACGGUGGGCAACAGAUAUUAAUUCCCACUGGAAAGUUCUGGAAGCCAGGUCAUGCAAGAACUUAGCCUGCCUGAGGGGCAGGGGUCUUGGAUCUCUAUCCAGCAACUCCUGUCUGUCCCUGGCCUGUGUCACCUCCUGCCACUGCUAGGAAGCUGUGUGUGGGGACAGGACAGGGGUCAGUGCCAGAGAGAGCCCUCAAGCAAAAUGAGGGCUGAUGCAGGCCAUCUGAUGUUAGCCAGGUGCUGAAAUGGCUAGGCCCGAGGUGUGUGGGCGGGACCUGAGGAAGUCCCUCAGGCCCCUGACGUUGCUGUCCCUCUACCUGGAACACUCCCCACUGAGAUACGCAGACACUGGUCCUUGAGAUAUGUGCACACAUGACUCCUGGGGCGGAGGGAGGGUCUUUCCUGAUCCCUUCUCUAAAUCGUCCCCAACUCCUAACACAUGCGUAUAUCUUACUUAUUGUCUGUCUUCUCCAAGUAAAUAGAGGCACAAGGAGGGCAGAAAUUUUGAUCUGCUGUAAUGGUUGCAUUAUCCUCAAUGCCUAGCACCAUGUCUGGCACAUAAUAGAAGUUCAAUAAAUAUGGAAUAGACAUUUGAAAGGUUCUUGUUUUUUGUGUUUUUCAGUACUGGAAAUUGAACCCUGAACUACAUCCCCAGGCAUUUCCAUUUUUAAUUUUGAGUCAGGGUCUCUCUAAGUUGCCCAGGCUGACAUCAAACUUGUAAUUCCCCUUCCUCAGCCUUGGAGUGGCUGGGAUCACAGGUGUGUGUGUCAUCACACCCGGCAUGAAAGAUCAGAUUUUCAAAAUCUCUGUUUUGGCCUGGUUCGGUCGUGAAUGCCUAUAAUCUCAGCAGCUCGGCAGGAGGCUGAAGCGUGAGGAUCAUGAAUUCAAAGCCAGCCUCUGCAACUUAGCAAGGGCCUAAGCAACUCAGUGAGACCCUGUCCCUAAAUAAAAUACAAAAUAGGGCUGGGGAUGGGGCUCAGUGGUAGAGUGCCCCUGAGUUCAAUCCCCUGUGCCAAUAAAUAAAUAAAUUAAUCUCUCUUUUGUCCCAUUGUUUAUCUAUAGUCACCUAUGGGGAAGAAGAAUAUGAUUAAUUGCCAUCUUCACAGUUUAUAUAUUUUUAUUGUUUUUUUUGGGGGGGAUGGGAGGAUCUUGCUAUGUUGCCCAGGAUCAUCUCUCUUUCUUUCUUAAUCUUAAUUAUUAAUUUUUAGAUGUACAUGACACCCAGGCUCAUCUCUAACUGGUGGGCUCAAGAGAUCUUCCCCCCUAAGCCCUCCGGAUUUGGGACUACACUGCGCACACACCAGCAGGCCUGGCAGAUUGGCAUCUUCCAACUUCAACGCACACUUGUUUAUAUUUGGGGCCUGGUUGUGAGUUCCUUUAAAUGCACCCCUGCCCAUUCCACAAAUAACGAGUAUCUUGUCUCGUGCCAGGCACUGUUCAAAGAACUAAAAAGUGACAGUAUAUCAGCCAGGAAUGACUUUUGGCACAAAGUGACAGAAAUGCUGAAAGCAUGGUUUAAACCAAGUCAGGUUCUCAUUUCCCCAUGUAAUUAGAAGUCUAGACAGAGGCCAACCAGGGCCCCCACAGUGGCUCCACGGGGGCCAUCGGGGACCACGUCUGCCUUUCCCUUCUCCUCGGGGUCUCAAGCUUGCUGCUCCAGCAACCAGCAGCCUCUGCAUUCCAGGCAGAGAGGAGAGAUGGCAAAGGGAAACGUGUGUUCCAGAGGAUUCCUCACCUGGGAAGAGCAUUCCUAGAAAGCUCCUCGCUCAUCUUGUGCAGCAUUUAUUAGUUUGCAUUUUUUUUGUACCAGGGAUUGAGCCCCAUCCCCAGCCCUUUUCAUAUUUUAUUUAGAGACAGGGUCUCACUGAGUUGCUUAGGGCCUCGCUAAGUGGCUGAGGCUGGCCUUGAACUUGUGAUCCUCCUGCCUCAGCCUCCCGAGCUGCUGGGAUUACAGGUGUGUACACUGUGCCCAGCAAGAACCAUGAAAGCUGUCACCAUAGUGCAGAAAAAAAUAAAAAACAAGACAUCAAACACCUCUUCACUUACCUGUACAUGCCACUUGCAAAACACACCAAAUAGCCACCAAUGUUGUGCAGAGAGACUACAUAAGAGGUGGAGUUCAGAGGUGACCCAGGUUCUGUCUCGUACCUAGAAGUCAGGGAAGCAGCUUUCAGAGGUGACCUUGGCGCUGACUUCUAAGUGAUGGUACAGAGGCAGCCUUUCCAAGAUCAACCACAAUUUUACUGAUCUUUUGUUGGUCAUCAUUUAAUCCAGGACAGGAAGGCAGUCUCACCUUGUCUGCCUCGUUCUACACAAUCCAGCCUUCCAGAUAGGGUGUCCAUCAUUCUUAGUUUUCCUGAACAUUCUUUCAGUGCUGUCAUGGGACCAUUUUUUUCCUUCCUCCUCUUUUUCUCUUCUCUUCUCUUUUCUCCCUCAGCAAAAAUAAUAAUAAUAAUAAUAAUCGAAGUUCUCAUUGAAGUUAUUCCUUGACCACAAUGGUCAAAGAUCAUGGGACUCGGGGUGGCGAGGAGGGCUGGUUUGCUGUUAAGCGGGACAGAACACAAUGCCAGGAAGACGCAUCUCGGGGAAAUAAACCAGAUGUGGAAGAUCCAUAAGAGAAUGGGCAAUUUGGGGAAAUCCUGCUUAACCCAUAAGACAGUCUGGCGAAUGUCGAUUUUAUUGAAGGAGAUGCAUCGUGUGAGCUCAAAGAUUUGGAAUCUUGAUGCUUCUCUGCAGCACUGGGAGAAACUCUAUCCCUGUGUUACGGUCUCAUUUCAAUACAGCCUUAGAAAGGGGUUCACAAGCUUCAUGUAUUGUAAGUCAGUUGUUACUGAGAAAUGUGUGUGUGUGUGUGUGUGUGUGUGUGUGUGAGAGAGAGAGAGAGAGAGAGAGAGAGAGAGAGAGAGAGAGACUCUGAGUGUUGAACCAGCCUCAUAUAUGUUAAGCAAGUUUUCUAUUAUUGAACCACACCCCCAGCUCUGAAAUGUGCUUUUUAUUUAUUUAUUUUUAAGACACUGUAGAUUGAACCCAGGGGCAUUUGACCACUGAGCCCCAUCCCCAGCUCUAUUUUGUGUUUUAUUUAGAGACAGGAUCUCCUUGAGUUGCUUAGGGCCUCACUAAGUUGCUGAGGCUGGCUUUGAACUCACGAUCCUCCUGCCUCAGCCUCCCGAGCUGCUGGGAUUACAGACUUGUACCACUGAGCCCAGUUGAAAUGUGAUUUUUUUACAUCUGGAAAUUUUACUGAUCACAAUAGGGAUUAUGAGGGCUGGGGAUGUAGCCUGGUGGUACAGAGCUGGCUUAGCAAGGGAGAGGCCCUGGGUUCAAUUCCCAGUACCCCCCCACACACACACACAAAAUAGAAAAGAAAAAAAGGAUUACAAUGUGACUGUAUUUUUUCUCGAAACUGUCAGCAUAUGGUCUCUUGCUAUCUGUUGUUUUCUCCCAGUAUUUUAUGAGGUAGGUAGUUGUCCUUUAUCCAAGGUGUGCCACACAUAGAAACACCUUUGUGCAAGUAGGGAACUACAAUUUCUAAAAUAUCUAGCUAGAUGAAAAUCAGCAGAUGCGUUCAAGUCCACUUUCAAGAGAAUCGACGGAGGAGGGUGGGGAAAUGUCAGGGAACACUGUGGCUAUCUGCCACCUUACCUUACAUUUACCAGUGACUUUUUAUGCUUCAUAGAGAAAUGGUGAACAUGCUUCCUAUCCCAUUUAAUUUUGGAAUCUGAAUGCGGUCAUACUGUGUUUUCUCCUUUGCUUUAAAGAUUAAGGACUCUUUAUGGGAUGGCUACUGAGGAUUGAACCCAGAGGUGCACUACCACUUAGCCACAUCCCAGCCCUGUUCUUUUUUCUUUCUUUAUCAAAGAUUGAACCCAAGGGCACUUAACCACUGAGCCGCAUCCCUUUUUUUAUGUUUUAUGUAGAGACAGGGUCUCGUGAAAUUGCUUAGGGCCUUGCUAAAUUGCUGGCUCCUGCUGCAGCCUCCCAAGCCACUGAGAUUAUAGGUGUUGCACCACCAUGCCUGGCUUCAUUUUUUAUCUUGAGACAGGGUCUUGCUAAGUUGCUGAGGCUGGCCUCAAACUUGAGAUCCUCCUGCCUCAGCCUCCUGAGUUGCUGGGAUUACAGGUGUGCACCUGGGUAAGAAUAAGUACUUUUUCGUCCCCAAUUUCACCAAGAUGGUGAGGUGAUUCAGUACUUUUGUAAACUGCUACACCCAGAUGACUUAUUAGCGUUAUGUACCGUUUUUCAUUAUUUAUCUGGAUAUAUUAGUGCUGUGUAAAUGCAGCCUAAGUGGAAAGGGUUUUCGGCCAUGCUGGGAGUGGAGCCCAGAGCCUUCCUCACACCUGCUAGGCAAGUGCUCUACCACUGAGUUACACCCCACCUACCAACAGCUUUUCUUUUUAGUUGUAAGAAAUCUGUAUGAUAACUGGGCAUGGUGAUGUUUGCCUGUAGCCUCAGCUUCUUAGGAGGCUGAGGCAGGAGGAUCACCUCAGCCCAGGAGUUUGAGACCAGCCUGGGCAAUGUAGUGGAAACCUGUCUCAAAAACACAAACAAAAAACCUGUUUUCUGAGCUGGGUUUUGGCUCAGUGGUACAGUGCUUUCUAGGCACAUGUGAAGCACUGGGUUCAAUCCUUAGCACCACAUAAAAAUAGAUAAAUAAAAUAAAGGCACUGUGUCAAAAUAAAAUAUAAGGCACUGUGUCAAUCUACAACAAAUAUUUAAAAAACAAAAUUGUUUUCUGCCAGGCACUGUGGAGCACGCCUGUAAUCCCAGCAGCUGGGGAGGCUGAGGCAGGAGGAUCAGAAGUUCAAAGCCAGCCUCAGCAAAAGUGAGGGCCAAACAACUCAGCGAGACCCUGUCUCUAAAUAAAAUACAGAAUAGGGCUGGGGAUGGGGCUCAGUGAUUGAGGGCCCCUGAGUUCAACACCUGGUUCAAAAAAAAAAAAAACCUGUUUUGUUUUGGGGUGUGUGUGGGGUUACUGGACAUCAAUCUCAGGGCCUCACAUAUGUGAGGCACAUGCUCCAUUACUGAGCUAUGUCUCCAACUCUUUUUAAAACUUUGAGACAGGAUCUUGCUAAGCUGGCCUUGACUUGGGAUCCUUCUGCCUCAGCCUCCCCAUAGCUAGAAUUGAGGGGUGGGAUCACACUAGGAAAAUCUAUGUUAUAAUAGAGUCAAACAUGGCAAUAUCUUUAGGAAGCAUGACUCUUUCCUUUCCCCUCCCCUUUGAUAAUGAUUUUCUCUGUUUAAAGAAUCCCUCCUCUUUAUCCUAUUGAUCAUAAACCCCCAUAUUCUUAAUUUUUGAAUUCCAUGCCUUGUUCAUGCCCUAAAUCUACUUAUGGAAUAAACUUUGAAGAAAAAAAGAUUUUGAUAGCCAGAAACGUUUUAAAAAUGCUACCUGAGUGGUUUAAAUAUUCUAUUGUAUUAACAUGAAGGAAUUUAUUUGCAAUGAUUAGCAACCAUAUUCUUAAAAUAUCUAAUGAGAAAAUGGUGUUAUCAUGUUGAGUUAAGAUAAGGAGGCCAGGGAGAGCGGUCACUGGAGCAUUUCAGUUUUGUAAGAUGCAUUUGGAAAACUGGAACAUGAUAUAUCCCAGUAUGAUGUACUGCAUGGUGGAAAUGUAAUUUUUACUUUCUUAUUUUGUAUUUUCCUUCAUGGUUAUUUUUACACGGAUUGCUUUUACAUGGAUCUUUUUUUGUUACAAUGAAUACAUAAAGACAAUUUUUUUGGGGGGGAGGGCACCUGGGGAUUGAACCCAGGGGCAUUCAACCACUCAGCCCCGCCCCCUUUCUUUUUCCUUUUUGUAUUUAAUUUAGAGUCUGGCUGCGCUUGUUCUAUAUGAUGGGAACGAAGACCUUCAGAGCAUGAGAACAGGGAAGAGACCAUACAUUGCUCAACGAGAACUCCAGCCUAGCACCGAGGCACAUGCCUGUCAUCCCAGCGACCCCUGCGGCUGAGGCAGGAGGAUCGCAAGUUCAAGAUCAUCCUGCGCAAUUUAGUGUCUCAAAAUAAGAAAUAAAAAUAAAAAGGUCUGGAGAUGUAGUUCUGUGUUAGAGCAAUUGCCAAGCAGGUGUAAGGCCCUUGGUUCCAUCCCCAAUACUGCAAAAAAUAAAUAGAUAAAGGAAAGAAAGAAAGAAAACAAUAUUAUAAUCUAGAGUUGGGUGCAGUGAUGCACACCUGUAAUCCCAACAGCUCAGGAGGCUGAGGCAGGAGGAUCUGAGUUCAAAGCCAGCCUCAGCAACUUAGCAAGGUCCUAAGCAACUCAUGGAGACCCUGUCUCUAAAUCAAGAAUAAAAAGGGCUGGGGAUGUGGCUCAGUGGUUAAGUGCCCCAGGGUUCAAUCCCUGGUAUCCAAAUACACACACACACACACACACACACACACCACACACGCACACACCACACAUGCACACACCACACAUGCACACACCACACACGCACACACAAACACACACACACUCCAAUGAUCAUAGCAUUGGAAGGAAAGAAGAGCUAGAACGUUAAAAAUAUUACCAUUUAUGCUGAUAUUGCAGCCUUCCCUAUUUAAAGGUCUACUUAGUGGACUUCCUUCUAAUUGGAAAACAAAACAGGGAUUCCUAGCUAGGCCCUUCUCUUUAUCUCUUUCUGUUGAAACACAGAUAUCCUGUUGUGAUAACCUUUGACACUUCAUUACAUCGCCACAGUAAAUAACAACUGCCCCUAUUUUGUCAUGCUACCCCUGGUUAAACAGUGCCAUUCAUCACUGAACAUAAAAGUUGACAUUUUUGUGAAUAGAAGGAAAUGUCAUUUGAAUUCCUUUGCUGUGUUCCCUAAAUUUAUUCAAGGGUUCUGAAUGGUUUAAAUGGCUAAGAAAACUAUGGGGUGGUUGGUUUGUCAGAGAGAACUGCCCCCCACCAAAAAGAGGAUCCAGCCCGUCUGGGGCCAGCGGCAAAAUGUUAAGACUUACAGAACUUCACAGGAAACAUGAACCCGAGUCACCAGGACAGCCACAAGGCCAAAAUAGAUCACAUAGGAAAUAGUUGUUUGCAAUUAUUAAUUAUUCUCAUUGAAAUAUCACCAAUUUAGUUAUUCUGUAGUAGAUAUCUAACUAAUGUGAAAGAUAUCCGCAAGUUUUCUUAUUGCUUAGAAUUGCUUAAGUAGUUUUUGGUUUACUAUUAAAAAAGGACACUUGAGGCUGGGGCUGGGGCUCAGUGGUAGCGCACUUACCUGGCAUGUGUAAGGUACUGGGUUCGAUUCUCAGCACCACAUGUAAACAAAUAAAU
rnacentral:lncRNA from 1 species